rnacentral:lncRNA from 1 species
CAGGGUAGCCACAGUGCUGUUGGGGGCGGUCUUUAAGGCUGAAGGGGAACCGGAUGGCAGGGCCAUGGUGCCUGCACUUUUCGACUUGGCAGUCAUGUUGAGCACUUGAUCCAAGUACUGCAAAGAGUGAUAGAACGAUGAGGUAAAUGAGUUGAGGUGCCAUGUUGAGGAAGAACACUUAAUACUGCUUAUGAAUUUCUGGGCCUUCUGUUUUCGUUCACAUUUCCCAGUAGUAUUAGUAAUUUUUCAAGAAGAAAAAAAACAAUCAAGUCAUAGAUUAUUAAGCAAAUUUAUGAGUUGACUUGUAUUUCUAUUGGUCUCCGUCCACUGGAGAUAUGGAAUGUAUUUUACUCCAUAUUUUCAUUUACCAGAUAAGUGAUAUGCAUUUUCAGCCCCCUCGAUUUGCUAGGCUAGUCAUUUAGCUGUACUAACCUUCAUCUUCGACAACAUCAUGCCUUCAAGGCCUAGAAAGAGUUGCACCAUGUGAUUUUGAUAAUCAUUCUUUCGGGGAAAAAAAAUUAUUAUCUUAUACUCAUUUUCUAUCACAUAUUCUUACAAUAAAAUAUUCUUCCAGUAAACUCAAAACUUUUUCCUAGAUUUUAACCAUACACUCUCCAAAAAAUUCUAUUCUAAAACUCAUUCUUCUCAAAAAUUCUUUGAGCAGCAAAAUUCUUUACAUUUACCUAACAUGCAUUUUCAUGCCCCUCGAUUUGCUUAGCUAGUCAUUUAGUUGUACUAAUCUUCAUUUUCGACAACAUCAUGCCUUCUAGGCCUAGAAAGGGUUGCACUAUGUGAUUUGACUAAGCCCCAAUUUAAUAAUCAUUCUUUCAAAAUUCUUUUUUUUUUCAUACUCAUUUUUAGCCACACAUUCGUACAAUAAAAUAUUCUUCUUACAAAUUCAAAAUUUUUUCUAUAUUUUAAACCACACGUUCUCCAAAAAAUUAUAUUCUAAAACUCAUUCUUUCCAAAAAAUGACUGCCAAACAAAACCUAAGUGACAUAUUCUGUGCUCAAAAUACAACCUUUUUAAUAAUUAAAUAAAUCUAAGUGGUUAUCUGCACUUCGAAUAAUCAUUUAAAUUCGAUUGUGUCAUAUCUAUUGAGUUUAACAAUGUCACACAAGCAUUAUGUCACAUUAUAUAUAUCAAAAUCAAGAAAAAUUUGAGUUCUACUUUGUGUGUGAAAAUUUGUCAAGCACGGCUUAGAUCGUGUUUGGUUAAGCCUAGAAAAGCAAUAAAGUAAAUUUUAAGGUAUUUUUGUACAACUACUUUUAAAGUAAAAGAGAAAGUUAAUUUUUUUUAAAAUAGUCAUUUUUUAGUGUCAACAUAAGAAACACAUUUCUAAAUUUUGAAUAAUUAAAGUUACUGAACUUUUUAAGCUUGGAUACGUGCUCUUAAAAUAAUGUCAAAGCACAACUUGUGUUGUUAUCAUUUUUUAUCUAAAUAAUUUUUUUAAUAUAAUUUGGACAUAUCCAACAGAAUCUUUGAUAAUUAAUUGCAACCCUAUGUAGUUUUAGCUGUGCAUGAACAAAAUUAUAUAAGUCCAUUGAUUUUUCUUUGGGCUACUAAGAUUUCGUAUGCAAAGGUUUAAAGACUUUUUGAGUCAACAAAAGUUAUUUCAGAAUGAAUGAAAUUAUUUAUUCAUAUUUUCUCCAACGUGCUCUAGAUUAUUUGUAUUGAAAAGUUUGACACUAGAAACAAUUGCACCAUUAGCCACCAACUUAUUGUCAUUAUAUCAAAGUGAUCCCUAAUUAUACUUUUGUAGCACUAUUGGCCCCCAGCUAAUUUCCUUCUGUUAUACCGUUAAAAAUUGGUAAGAGUAAAAAUCCCUUCCCAUUCACCCAACCAAGAUUGUGGAUCAAAUUUUGAGCAAGAUGGUGUUGUGGGGCUAAAAAUUGCUUAAAUUCUGUCAAUCUUGCUAUAUAUGUGGUCAGGCAGUGUUCAUUGAGGAUUCUUACUAACAGCACAAAGUGAAUUUAGUGGAUUGUCUAUCAUGCCCCUUUCACAAAUUAGGCCAAUAGGGGCUGAUAUGCAACAUCCAAAAAGGCCAAUAGGAACUGAUUUGCAACAUCCAAAAAGCCAUAUACUAAUAAUUUGCAAAAAAAAAAAAAAAAAAAAAGAAAAUUUGGGGAUUGAUUUGUAGCAAAACAGAACAUUUAGUUUAUGAGUUUAGUAUGAGGAUCAAAGAUUAAGUUGCCCAGACUUGUGGACCAUGUGGAAAUGAAGUGCAAAUGUAUAUCCCAAUGAGAACAAUAGCUUAUGGCAAUUUUAAUGUAGCAUUGACUUGACUAUUGUUGUCAAGUCAGUUUAAAAUAGAAUAGCAUAAUAUAGUUAUAUCGAUUAUUAUCGAGAUAAUUUUGAAUAGUAUAAUGUAAUAAAAUCUCUUAAUUAUUAUAAUCAAUUUAAAAUAACACAUCUCAAUAAUUAGUAAUUAGUGCGAUCUCCACCAAAAAGUAGGAAAAUUGAACAUUACUAGUGCUCAUUAAUAAAAAGUGGACGAAAAUCAAUUUUUUCUAGAAGGAAACAACCCAAAUAGAUGGCAUAUGAAAAAAAAAAUGCACGAAUCACUGACCUUUUUUUUUUUUUUGACCUUUGUUCCAAAAGUAUAAUUCAUAUCUUAGAGGAAAAGAAGUAGUAAUAAAUUUCUAACUUUGACCAAGAAAACUUCUCUUUCUGAGUGCUUUCCUUAUCUUCUUAGACACGUAUGCUAUUAUAUCAAAUGUCAAAUACGGCUUGUAUUAUUUCAGUAAAUUAUUGAUUCUUGUCUCAAUUAUUUGAUUGAGUCAUUAUUUUGUGGGUUCUAUGAUUUGGACAUAUUUGAAAAUAAAUAAAUAAAUAAAUAAAGGAAGGGUCUUGGACAUUCAGCCAUAUGUUGAAAAAAUGUUAAAUUUCAAUGACUUUUUCUUUGGGUCACUUGGAACAGGUCUUGAAUAUUGUAAAUUUAAGGAACGGUUAAAUUAUCUCAUUUUAAAGUCUAAAUUAUUUAAGAAUGAAUGAAUUAUUUUUUCAUAUUUUCUCGAACUUGCUCUCAACUUUUUCAUUCAAAAGUUUGACAUUAGAAAAAAAUGUGUCAUUAUUCCCCAACUUGUUAACGAUGCAUAAAAGAAACCUCUCGUAUUUUUUGUAGCACUAUCCACCACAGCUAUUUUCCUGUUAAAAAGUAGGAGUGUACCUUGCCAAACUCCUUGCUAUUUGCCCGACACCAUUGGUGUAUAAAAAUUUGAGCCAGAUGAUGUUAAGUGGGGAACAAAUUGACUUAAACUGGAUUCUAGUGGGUUACUAUAGAAUGAAUCAUCUAGUUGGAUAUUUGAGCCCCAUUUGACUCCUAUUAAAUUGAAUUUCAUUUUCCUCUUUCUUAUCUUCAAUCACGCAAUCUUCUAUAAAAUAAUAUUACUCGUAAACUGAAAACUUUACCUUCUUUUUAAACCUUUCAUUCUCCCAAAAAAAUAAUAAUAUAUAUAUCUCUGUAUAUGUAAUGCAGCAUUAAGAUCACAUUCAUAUUUGAUAACACUUGGAUGUCGAAAUUUGUUUGAAGAUUUAUAUCCAUUCUGAUAACCUAAAACGUGCUUUGACUCUAUAAAAAGAUCACUUGCAUGUUUGCUCGACGCUUGCCAUGAUAGGAGAUGAAUGGUCGAUCACCCUCCAAUGUUGAAGUUGACUUUGGUGUCUUGUGGAAAAAAUGGUUCGACAAAGAUUCAACAGAAGUGGUGAUUUCUCAUACGCAGAGAUGGAAUUUAUAGUGUUAGAAGAGUGUACACAUAAUGUGGACAAAGUAUCACUCUAUGAAAUACUGAAAGGAUCUGAUCCAUGGUAUUUGAGAAAAUGUGUUGUUGAGCUAGCGUGUUCAACAAGCUAUAGUCACCUUGAGAUUUUCUCUAACGUCAUCUCCAACCAUUAGCAUCAAAUUGAUGCAACUUUCACACCAUCUUGUAGAUCAUUUCCAUCAUUAGUCAUUACAUCAAAUAUUACACCAAAUGAAUAGUAUUUCCUUAUUUAUUUAUUCUCGACAAUUAAUUUAUUUCAGAAGUUAUUAAUUACAGAAUAUAUUACAACAAAAAUUGUUAAAUUAAAAAUUAUAUAUAAUUAACUAAAAUAAAAAACUAUUACAUUUAAAACCACAAUUAAAAAAUGAUUACAGUUUACUAUAAAUAAUAAUCAAAUUAAACAGAAUAUAAAUAAAGUUAAAUCAAUUAAUAAUAGAAAGAUAGAAUAGAAAUUAAAUUUGUUGUAUUAUAAAUUAAAGGGUACCAAAUGAAUAGUGCUACACUAUUCAUUGCACUAGGUGUGAACUUUUGAUGUACGGUUGGAGUGGAUUUUUGCACCAAAUUGGUGCGUGAUUGGAAAUGUCCUAAGUGCACGAUCUUUGAAAUGUCACUACAUAUCAACGUUGCACCAGCCACCAGGUGUAAAGUUUUGGUGCAUGAUUGGAGUGGAUUUUAGCACCAAAUUUGUACUUUUACACCAAUUUGGUUCGUGGUUGGAAAUGCCCCAAGUGCAUAGUGUUUGAAAUGUCACUGCAUAUCAACCUCAACACGUCAUAUCGGAAGUACUAAGGAAGGUACCUUUAUGUUAUGCUGGCUUUGAGAUAUGAUGUCUUGUGCCUCUAUUCAACUCGUUAUAUCAGGACAUGAAGCCUAACUAAUCAUCCCUUGAUUUGCCUAGAUAGUCAUUUAGCUCUACUUCUGUUCAUCUUCUACAAGAUCUUUCAUUCUAGGCCUAGUAAGAGUUGCACUAUGUGUUUUGACUGAGACAUAUUCUUUAAUUAAACCAAAGUGGUUAUCUGUCCUUCAAGUGACUAUUUGGCUUGAAUUAUGUCUAUCUAUUUGGCCUCAUGGCAUCAUGCAAACGUUAUGUCACAUUAUAUAUAACAAACCGCCUUUUUUUAACGAGCUAACCUGUGCUUGAUUCGUCCAAAAGCAAGCACGAGUUAGGUUGUCUUGUGAACCUAGUCGAGCUUGACGGUGGAAAACUCUAGCCUUUACACCCUUUUGUGGCUCACCCCCACCAAGGGACGAGCAUGAGUUAGUUCUUGUGGUGGAUCAAGUCGAGCCUGAUAGUGGACAAGCUGAGCCUUAACAUCCCAAGUUAUAUGAUUUCGACUUCAGUAGUUGACUUUAAUCAUAAAUCUCCCUAUGGGAUGUGAACUUGUGAAGGUCAUACUUUAGAGUCGAGAAGAAAGUAAUAAAAAUAUUUUAGAGCUUGUUACCAGUCAAGCCCCCUCAAUUUUGCUACAAGGAUCGACUUGUGUCUUUCCAUAUAAUGAAUCCAAAAAAUAUGUAUGAAUUGAGGGGGCUUGACUGGUAACAAGCUCUAAAAUAUUUUUAUUACUUUCUUCUUGACUCUAAAGUAUGACCUUCACAAGUUCACAAGUAUGAAUUCAACUAACAUUCAUUGAAUUAAAAUUGAUUUUAAUUUAGGAUAACUCUCAAUAUUAAAGUGGUUUAAAGUUAAGACUUCACCUCAUAGACUUGAAGUCAACAAGGGUAUUCUUGAAAGAAAAUAAAUUAUUUUAAUUGGAAAAUUUAGUGAAACGCAUCUCAAAUCAAACGCUAUUAAAGAAUAUUAAUACUAUAAAUAAAAUAUCCUUUAAAACAAUAACUUUCAUUUUCUUAUAAUAACUUUCAUUUCUUUAUUUUCUUUUAUUUAUCCUAAAACGUAUGGUCCAACACGACUUAGAGCAUGUUCGGUUAAGUCGAGAAAAGCGAUGAAGUAAAUUUUUAAGGAAUUUUUGUCUCAAAAUAUGUUUAUACAAUUUUUUUCAUACUUUUUAAGUAAAAGAAAGUUAUUUUUCAGAAGUGGUCAUUCUUUAAUUUCAAAAAAAAAAAAAAAUCUAAUUUGGAACAAUAAAAUAUAUUUGUAUUACUUAUUUAAUUAUAAUUAAGUUGCCUAUAUUUCUUUUACUUUUCAGAAGUGGUCAUUCUUUAAUUUCAAAAAAAAAAAAAUCUAAUUUGGAACAAUAAAAUAUGUUUGUAUUACUUAUUUAAUUAUAAUUAAGUUGCCUAUAUUGAACUUUUUAUGCUUGGAAAACCACACUUAAUGUUUCAAAUCACAACUUGUGUUAUUAUUAACUUUUGCCUACAUAACUUUUUAAUAUAAUUUGGACAUAUCCAACAAAAUCUUUGAGAAUCAAUAGCACUGGUCAUCCUCGGAAAGAAACCCCAUUGGAGUUUUAGCUGUGCAUGGACAAAAUUAUACAAUUCCGUUGAUUUUUCUUUGGGCCACUGGAAUUUUGUAUACAUGGGUUUAAAGCCUUUUUGAGUCAACAAAUGUAGGGAUUAAUUUUUUUGGGGUCCACAUUAAUUGAUUUAUUGAUGAGAGGCAAGUUCUAUGAUUUUGACUUUAGUAAUUGAAAAGAAAAAAUACAUUAAUCAUGGAAUUUCAUAAAGGGUGUGAAACGCAAUGCGGGGCAAAAUUGCAGAUUAGAGAAUAUCCUGGGACCCUUUUGCUAAUAUAGAAAAUUUAGGGGCACAUUUUCUAAAACCAACAAAAAUACUAGCAGAGAUGCAUGAUAUUGAAAUUUAGGGGUUGCUUAUGCAAAUUUUGCUAAGUGCUUGUUUGGGAAUUGGAAUAAAGAGCCGGGGAUCCUAUAAACCAUGCCAAAACCUAUCAAGUGAAAUUAGUCUUGAGCUGCAACACAUUGUGAAAGCCUUGGUGCGCGGACUCAAUCGAUUAAUGAAGUGUGUCUAAGGGAAAACAUAAAGUUAAGGAAUAAAAUUUAAAUUGAUAUAGACAGCAUUGGAUUGGACAACUACACAACUAUUAUAAUGGUGAAAUGUGAACCCAUCAUUUACAUCCUGUUAGUAGAACAAAAAGGCCUCUAGGCAUCUAGUCUGGGUUAUGAGUUUAGUACGAGGAUCAAAGAUUACGUGAUCAAGACUUCUGGAUCCGUGAAGAUGAAGUGGAUAUGAACUUCCAAGUGAAAGUGUGGGAUAAUAGUUUGUGACUAUUUUUAUUGAACACUAACUUGACAAUUAUUGUCUAAUCAAUUUAAAAUUGCAUAGCAUAAUCAAAUAUGUCGAUUGUUAUAGAGUCAAUUUGAAAUAUCAUAAGAUAAUAAAAUAUGUCGUUUAUAAUUGUGUCAAAUUAAAAUGAUAUAAUACUAAAUUCAGUAAUUAGCAAUUAGGGUCCAUUUGAUUGAAAAGAAUUCUAUAUAAAAUGUCAUAUUCGAGGAAUUUGUUUUCUACUUUGGCCGUUUGAUACGAAAAUGGAAAUGAAAUUCGAAUUUCAAAAUGCAAUAACUUAAAACAUGUUUCUGGCCAAUUCCAUGAAAAUUGAAUUCCUAAGGUUUAGGUAAUUUUUUCUUUUCCAUCUUACAUAGAAUUUGUUUGCAUUUUCCACAUUUGCAAUCAAACAGACCCUUAGUAUGAUCUCCACCAAAAAAAUAGAAAAAUUGAGCAUAUCUAGUGUUCAUUAAUAAAGUUAAUGUCAUUACAUUAAUCGACUAUGAUGGCCAAUUAACUUAUAUUUCUCAUGAAGAAUUAGGAUAGCCGCACAUUAAACGUCAACUACAACUUGUAUUAUUUUCGUGAGAUAUGGAUUCUUGUCUAAAUUAUUUUAUUUUAGUUGAUUUGUUGUGGGUUCUAUGAUUUGGGCAUGUUUUAAAAAAUGGGAAAAUUACCUUAACCCCUACAUUUAAUUUUAAAUUCGAAAUUUGGGUACAAAUUGUUAUCUUUCAAAAACCAAGUUAUAAUUAUUUUUUAAUUUAAAAUCAUAUUAUACACACUCUGCAACCACUUACCCUCACUUUUAUACAUUUGCCCAUACGUUACCUACCCACGCCCAUCCAACGUGGCUUUUUAUGUUUCUAAGACAUGUUUAAUAGACUUUUUAAAUAUGAGAUGUUCUCUAUUUUAAAGAGCCAACUUUUAAAAUUAUAUUUCAAAAGACCCUUUAAUUGACAUUUUAAUUUAGAGAGUAAAUUUAGCUCCCUAAAUUGAAAGAAUCAAACUGACCCUCUACACAAGUCUUAAUUCUUUGUUUCAAGAUUUCAUUUCUUGUCUUCGGAUGGGAAAAGCUUUCAUUUAUUUUCUUUAGCCUGAGGUUUACCCUAAUCGGUCACUUAAGUCUGUAUUUUUUAUUUAUUGCUAAUAAAAUAUACCCCCGAGUGUAAAUUUAACUAAAAAAUGGAUUUGUCUCAUACCCUUGCGUCAAGGCAUAUAGCUAGGCUGGACCUCGAGCUCGUAAGUUCAUUGCAAUUAUUUAAUGUGGAAAUUAUGGUCAUUACUUAUUAUAUUAUUUGUUCUUUUUUAUUCCUACAUUACUGUUUGUAGGGGAAAAUGAGCGUCCAGCUAGAAAAGGUUCUAUCUUGAAGUUCCGCAUAAAUCUCUCUCCAAAUCCUGAGAUAUAUUUAGUUAGAAAUCGAAUCGAGUCAAAUAGUCAUUCCAAUAUUAGAUCUAAUACGUAAUGCAAAUGUGAAAUCUUUGUUGUCACAUGCCCAUCAGUAACCGUUUUACAUGAAUUGUGUCAUAUCUAUUGAGUUUCACGCAAAUGUUAUGUCACAUUAUAUAUAACAAAAUCAAAGAAAAUUUGAGUGCCACUGCCCACAACAAAUAAGAAAAUAAAAUUAUAAUGUUCGCCUAUUGGGAAAGUAAGAACAAAAAGUUCACAUUGGUAGAGAUAUUGUAGAUAAUGUAUCUAAGAGAAUUGGAAUGCUGGACCAAAGAGGUUAAUUUUUUGGGAUGGAACUCCAAUAUCCUACUAGUGGUGUAAGAGUUAAGGAUAAAAAAUUCACGAUAUAAAAAAUAUCGGUAUUUAACUCCCAAAAUGGUUGUAUCGACAUAAGCAGUUUGUGAUGCAGUAAAAGAAUUGUCCCUUGAUGGAACUUGUAAUCAUUCGUGUAUUAUGAAAGAAUGACACAUGAAUUAUCGCUAAAGGGAUUGAGAUAAUGUUGUGCUCCAUUUGAUGGGGGGGGGGGAUUGUUAAUCCGUUGGAACCUGUAGCAAAAGCUAACAUUGACUACAUAAAAAAUUCACGAUAUAAAAAAUAUCGGUAUUUAACUCCCAAAAUGAUUGUACUAAUAUAAGCAGUUUGUGAUGCAGUAAAAGAAUUGUCCCUUGAUGGAACUUGUAAUCAUUCGUGUAUUAUGAAAGAAUGACACAUGAAUUAUCGCUUAAGGGAUUGAGAUAAUGUUGUGCUCCAUUUGAUGGGGGGUAUUGUUAAUCCGUUGGAACCUGUAGCAAAAGCUAACAUUGACUACAUAUGAGUAGAUGAUGUGAUUAUAUGAAAUUGAACUACUUUGCACAAUAAGUUAACCUUCUGAAAUGAAACUCAAUUACCGAGCAAACCCAAUCUAAUCUCCCAAAAUGCAAGGAUUAAUAUUUUUUUGUCACAACUUGUUUUUGGUCCAAGUUGAUUAAUCUAUUGUUUAGGGGUAUACAGGGAUGGGAAAUGGGGCUAAUCAAGCUAAAAAUAAUUCGUGUGAGUAGCUUGCAAGCCGAGCUCUUUGGCUCGCCUAGCUAAGAUAUAAGUUAAUUUUUUGCAGCUAUAAACUUCGUGCCCUCAUGUCGAAUUCAAGUAGCCCAAUCAUUGGGAUGCCUGACUAAUUUUUUUUAAUUAAAAAUAAAAAUUGGUUUACGAGCUGCAAGUGGGGGAUGAAUCGCCUUUUUUAAUGAGUUAACUCAUGUUCGGCUCGUGUUGUCCAAAGUGAGCAAGAGCCAAUCAAAUGAUGGGUUGAAUCGGGUUUUGUGACCCUAUUGAGGCUUGAUCCACCAAGGGAUGAGCAUGAGUCAAUUCUUGUAGUGUGUCGAGUCGAGCCCGAUGAUGAUGGACGAGUCAAGCCUUAACGCUCCUAGUUCUAUGUUUUCGACUUUAUUAUUGACUAUAAUCAUAUAAUUUCAUGAUAUAGGGUGUGAACUUGUAAAGGCCAUAACUUAGAGUCAAGAAGAAAGUAAUAAAAAAUUAAAAUUAUUUUUGAUCUAGGAUAACUCCCCAGUAUUAAAGUAGUUAAAAGUUAAGACUUCACCUCAUAGACUUGAAAUCAACAAAGGUAUUCUUGAAAGAGAACAAAUCAUUUUAAUUGGGAAAUUUAGUGAAACAUGUCCCUAAUUAAAAGAAUAUUAAUACUAGAAACAAAAUAUCCUUUAAAACGAUAACUUUCAUUAUUUUUCUUUUUCUUUCAUUUAUCCUAAAACUUAUUGCCCAGCACAACUUAGAACAUGCUCGGUUAAGCCUAGAGAAAAAUAAGGUAAUUUUUAAGAAAUUUUCAUCUUCAAAUAUAUAUAAACAACUUUUUUAUACUUUUAAGUAAAAGUAGUUAUGCGAGCUACAAGCGAGGGCGAACAGCCUUUUUUUAACGAGUUAACUCGUGCUCGACUUGUCCAAGGUAAGCAUAAGUUAGGUCAUGUGAUGGGUCGAGUUGAGCUUUUAUACCCCUAAUGUGGCUCGCCCUCACCAAGGAUGAGCAGGAGUCAGUUCGUGUAGUACACUGAGUGGAGCCCGACAAUGGACUAAUCAAGCCUUAACACCUCUAGUUCUAUUAUUUCAACUUUAUAAUUGACUAUGAUCAUGCAAUUUCAUAAUAUAGGGUGCAAACUUGUAGAGACCACAAUUUAUAGUCAAGAAGAAAGUAAUAAAAAAUUAAAAUUAAUGUUGGUUUAGGAUGUCUUUUCAUUAUCAAAGUGGUUCAAAAAUAUAAUAAUGCCAUGAGUACAAGAAAAUUUUAACAGAACUUGUACCGGCAUCGAUGUGGCAAAACAUGAUUGGACUACUUUUUUUCCCAUCUUUCAAUGAUAUCAUGCCAUGUGUUAUCUGUAAGAUUUUUUUGUCAAAAAAUUAUGUACCUCGAGCAUUUAGGGAUGGCAAUUUGAACCGUCAAAAUCGAAAAUCGCCGUUAACCGAACCGAAUGGGGCGAAAAAAAUCGAACCGAUGGUGCAAUGGGGCGGAUAUGAUUUUUAUUUUUAUGAACCGGUUCGUGGCGGUGCGGGUAUGGUAUUUAUGCCAUCGAACCGAAACCGAACCGAUUACCCGCUAAAAAAAAACAAUUGAAUUGAUUAUUGAGCUUUACACUACUUUUCUAUCUAGCCCAAAACAAAAUCCCCCCAUUACAUCUACAUGAUUCAGCCGGCCAACCCACUUACCAUUAGCCUAUAAUAAUAACAUUAUUAUGAUAGUAUAUAAAUGCAAACCCUAUUCUCCACAGACCACAAACUCACGCACGACUCCUUUUAUUGUUAAUUUUUUUUCUAUUGUGUGUAGAAAAUUCAACUUCUUUAUCAUACUUUAGAGUUUGUGCAACGUUUAGCGAAAAGGAAGCUGACGAAGAUGUACAUUUUUUUUAUUUAAAUUUUAGUUAAGACCAUUCUAGAAUAGGUAGUGUUGUUGUAUUCUCUACUUACAUUUCUUAUUUACUAUAUAUGAAUCAACUUUGAGUAUUGAUCUAUGCUAGUAAAACUUGUGGGGAAGAAUGAAUCAAGUGACUUCGAUGCACAACAAUUAAGAAUGAAUGAAAAAUUUAGUAUUGUUAUAUUUAUAAGAUUGUUUGUUAAAUUUGUAUUUUACAAUUGAAAAUUUGGAUAACGUUUGCAUUUUCGUUUGGAAUAUUGUGUUUUUGUUUUCAUUGACUUUUUUGAUAAAUUUUUUUAUAUCAAUUUUUUUUAUAGGAUUGUUUUAUAUCAAUUUGACGGAUGAACCUAUAAAAAAUAAUUUAUUUUCGUGGUUAUUAACCGAAUCGAACCGUGCCGAAUCGAGAUACGAACCGAACCGAUUUACGUGGUUAUGAUGCGGUUAUGGUAUGAUCAAAAAAUUGGUGGUGCAGUUAUAAUUUUAUCCGAACCGACCCAUAACCGAAACGUUGCCAACCCUACGAGCAUUGUUCUAAAAUUAACACUUCGCCCAUGUUUGGGCUCCUCUAUUUCACAUUUUAAUGAGGAGAAUAGUAAUUUUUGAAAAAUAUAUGGUUGAAAAAGAAGGAAAUUUUUUUAAAUUUACGUGUAAUAUUAUUUUAUUAAAAAAUGUGCGAUUGAUAAGAAAAGAGAGAAAACUGAAUUUUAACUUAAUGAGGACCAAAUAGGGGUUUCAUCUCGUAGACUUGAAGUCAACGAGUGUAUUCUAGAAUGUAAAAUUAUAUAAUUUCAUUUCGUAUACACGGGUUUAAAGACUUUUUCAGUCAAUGAAAGUAUCAAUUGAUAUUUUAGAGUCCACAUUGAUUAAUUUAUUGUUGAGGGGUGGGAUCCAUGAUUUUGACUUUAGUCAUUGAAAAAUUAAAACGCGUUAAUCAUUGAAUUCUGUGAACUUGGAAAUGGAAGACUUUCGAGUAAACGAAAAUGUUGAGAAAUUAAAGUUGAUUUUAAUUUGCGAUAAUUCUCCAAUUAGGGUAUUAAAAUUUAAGACUUAAAAAUUCAGAUCUCAAUACAAUAAAAUUUAUUUAUUUAUUUUUUCUUUUCCUUCUGCUUGAAAACUCGGAGCGCGUUUUCCUAGGUCUAGAAAGAAUAAACUUUUUUUCAAAUAAAAAAUCUAUGAAUAACAUUCCUUUUGUUUCCAUUUUUUUUUAAGUAAAAUAUAGGUACUUUUUUAGUAGUAUAUUCCAUGUCUUAGAGAUAAAAGAAGUAAUGUAUUUUUAACUUUGAUCAAUUUCCUUUUUCUUAAUGCUUUCUUAUUUUCUUAGACACGUAUGCUCUUAAUCGAAAUGUCAAGUACAACUUGAAUAAUUGAUUCUUACCUAAAUUAUUUAAUUUGAGUUAAUUUUUUUAUGAAUUCUAUGAUUUGAUCAUAUUAAAGAGAAAAAAAACACAAAUCCUCGAUGAUUAAUAGCACUUGUUAGCAAGAAGUUACCUCCAUGGACCUUUAGUCAUAUGUUAAAAAAUUAUAUGUCGUGAAUAGGUCGUAAAUUUUGUAAUGGUAAGGAACGAUAAAACCAGCUCACUUAAAAGUUUUAAUUAUUUAAGAAUGAAUGAAAUUAUUUAUUAAGAUUUUCUCGAACUUGCUCUAAGAUUAAAUUUAUUUUUUCAUUCAAAAGUUUUCCGUUAGAAAAAAUGUGCCAAUAGUCACCAACAUAUUAGCUCUGUAUCAAAGUGAUCCCUAGUAUAUUUUUUAUUGCACUGACAAUCCUAGUGGUUUUCCCAUUAAAAAGUAGUAUCAGUGUACAUGAGUACAUCGAUAGUGGAUAAAAAUUUGAGCCAAAUGGUGUUAAGUGGGCCUCCAGAUGACAUAAAUUUGGGCCAUAGAAUGGACAAUCUAGCUGAAUAUUUGGUUGGGUAGCGUUCAAAGGAAAUUCACACCAACAACAUAAACUAAAGAGAAAACAUCAUAACUCAUGUCUAUAGUUUACACCAAUUCAAAAGUGGGGUGUAUAGUUUAAAAAUUCAAAAUUCAAGUAUAUAUAUAAUUAAUUAAAAAUAUUUAUUAAUAUUUAAUUAAUAAAAUCAUAGUUAUACAAUUAAUUGUCACAUAUACAUAAUUAUAGGUAACAACUUUUUUACUGGUCACACAUUGUAAAAUUAAUUGUUCACAGAUUAUUUCGAGGCCACAAAUCAAAAAUCUUAUAAGUCACAUUUUAUUUCAUUGGUCAUAAAUCAAAAAAAUUACAGGUCACAGCUUAUUAUCCUUCACCGUUUGGUGACGGUGACAUGCUUAGAGAGAGAGGCAAGAGAAGGAAGAUAGAUGAAAAUGAUUAGGGUUUGGGAGUUAAAUUUGGAUAUUUAAUUAUUAUAUCAAUACCUGAUUUUUAAAUAAUGAAACUUGAUCCCUAAUUUUUGCAUUAUGAUCUUUUAAUCCCUGCUAUUAUGUAAUUUCCACUAAAGUAAAUUCUAGCAGGUUGCUUAUUGACGGAAUUUUCAGAGUGGGGCAAUAGAAACUAAUUUGUAGCAUGAAAAUGCCUAGGGGUUAAUUUGCAGAAAUUAGGAAUUUUGGGUAUUGAUUCAUAGAAAACAUAAAAUUUAGGGAUUAAUUUAUAGAAACUAGAAAGUUCAUUGGGCAAAAUUGCAUAUUGCAAAAAUUUGGGGUGUCAAGUCAGCCGACCAGGGAAGAAGGUCCAAGGGAAAAUAUAAUUUAAGCGAUGAAAUUUAAAUUGAUAAAGACUACAUAGGAUCAUGCAAUUGCAUGACUAAUAUAGUGGUGACUCCACCAUCUAUAUUGAGUCAGUUGAACAUGGAGGCCAUAUGGACAACUUUGACAUAUAAGUUUACUAUGAACAAUAGAUUACGCUACUAAAACUUUUGGACCACAUGGAGAUGAAACAAAUAUGAACAUCCUAGUAAGAUGAUGGGUAAUAGUUUUUCCAUUAUGCUUCAAUUAGCAAUGACUCUGAGUUAAACAUGAUGAUCAAAUUCCCCUCCUAAGUCGGUGUUUUUUAUUUAUUUCUAACAAAAUAGUUAGCACCUUGUGUAAUAUUAACUAAAAAAAUGAUUUGACCCGUAAAACACCCUUGUGUUUUAGCAUCGGGCUAGGUUGGACCUUGAGUUUGUAACUAUUGAUUUUUUUAUUCCGAUAUUACUAAUUGUAGGGGAAAAGAAGCGUCUAGAAAGAAAAAGUCCUAUCAUAAUUGAAGUGAAGCCCAAAGUCAGCCCGAAUAUUUUGGGGGUCUUAUGCCAAUUUCAAAUUGGGGCCCUAUAUUUUGAUUCUCCUUGUAUAGAGUUUUAGCUUGUUUGAUGAAGAUUAAGUCCUUGUUUGAAUCCUCUUUUUCAUUAAAAUACAUUAUUCAAUAGUGAUUUGACACCAUUUCAACCAUACAUUUCUCAAUAAAAUAAUAUUACACACAAACUCAAAACUUUUCCUUAUUUUUUAAUCAUACAUUCUCCAUCAUAGCAUUGUUUCAAAAUGCAUUUUUUGAGAAAAAUAUGGCUCGAACAACCCUUAAAAUCAAAUUUUUAGUAGAUUUUGAUAGAAGUAGAUAUAAAAUGUGGAUUUAAAGUUUUGGAACCCAUAAAAUAAAUGGUUGAAAUUAAUUAUCAAUUUUGACUCAGAUUAAAAUCUAGAUUUUAAUUAAUGCCAAACAUGGGCUUAAUAUAAAUAUAAAGAAUCUAACACGGACAACUAAGCCCCAAAAUUUGAAAAGAAAAUAAACAAAAUGUCAAAUUACAACCAACAAUACAAAUUACAGGUAAAGUUUGGCAAACAAAUUACAAUGCAAUGACAAAGAGGUAUGCUCGUUUAUAUGAUUAUUUUCUCACUACAACUAUUUCAAAUAAAAUUGAAUAUACAUUUGAUUGAUUUAUGUAUAAAAUUGGAGAAUGUAAUUACAAAAGAUAGUGUAACAAAAAAAUGAAAAUGAUGAUCAAAUAUAAACGAGCUUCUAAUUUUAUAUUAAUUUAUAAGAAAUUAAUUUAAAAUAAGAAGCAUAUGAAUGAACAAGAACAAAGAAUUAUUAAAUACAAAAUACUUUAAGCAAAUAUCUAAAAAUAUUAUUAUCAUGAGAUUAAAAUAAAACAAUAUAAUAACAACCUAUAUACUCUGCAGUAUAUGUUUUGAAAAUAAGAGAGAGAGAAAAAAAAACCUAUAAGACUAAGGAAAAAAAAAACCUUUAAGACUGUAACAAUAGUAGCGAGAUCAAAUCAAAUUGUAUUGAAUCUUCAAAAUUUUAAUUCAAAGUGAAAUAAUUUAUAUCUGUUGGGUUGAAAAAAUUAAUGAUGGGUAAUUGUUGGACAUGGAAUUUGAAAAAACAAAGAGACCUUUUGUUUAUUUAAAAAAUGACAAUGAAUGUUUGGAAGAUAAAGUGUCAACUUAAUUAUAAAUAGGGAAAGUAAUGUUUGUGAUAAAUAAAUGUAAGUGAUAAGUUUGUUUCCUUAUAUAUGUUUUAAAGAUUUUUGUAUUUUUUAUUUGUUUCUUAUUUUACAUACGAUAAUUCUAUUUUCAAAAUUUCAUAAAUAUAGUUUUCAUUUUUCUUCAACCAACUAAUUAACUUUACAUAAUUUGGGGCCCUCACCAAAGCAGGACCUUAAGCGAUUGCCUACUUCGCUUAUACUCAGGACCACCAUUGGUGAAGCCACAUGAAUCCCACGAUAUAUUUACUUAAAAAUUGACAUUAUUCAUUCAUUCAUUUGAAUAAUAGAUCAAAUCCAUAAUGCUAAUGUGAAAUCUUUACCAUUUAACACCAAAAUCCAAGUCAAAAAUUGAUAAUAUUAAAAAACUAUUUACAAGUUCAAAAAUUUUAGGCAUAAUUGCAAGAACUUGUCAUUUUAUUUACAUAUGUUUUAAUGGAACAGAGAAUAGCAAAUAAGAUCUCAAUUACAAAAUAAUUAGAUGAAAAUUAUGAUAUACUUGUCCAAAUACAUAUAAGAGAGACACAGAAAGAGAUCACACUCCUAGUCCUACCACAAAAACAAGUUCAAACCAAACAUUAAUUGGAUAUAGAAAAAUAAAGAUAAUGAAGCAUUUGAUAGUUGAGUAAUUAUAUUCAUCUUCUAUAUGUGACAACGCAAAUUUGCCAAACAAAAUGUGACAAUGGCUGGCUGUUAAAUUGACUAGGACGGCCUUUGCCCCAACCCCAAAGUUUGCAAGAAUGUAAGGGCUGGUUUGGUUUGUAUUUCAGCUUUCUGUUUUGAGUUGAGUUCAUUUUUAGUUUUAUGUUUUAAGGGCCUCUUUUAAGAUUGCUACAAAAGUGCUUGAUUUAUCAUUUUGAAAAAUUAUAUCUCAAAAUAACAAACUAGACGUUUGGUUUGAAAUUUUGAAAAAUUAUUUUAUAAAAUUUUAUUUCAUUAUAUUUGAUUAAUCACUAAAAAUACAACUAUUUUAUGUUAAUAUACGAUCGAAUAAUAUAUACAUUUUAAACUUGGUGAAUCCGACAGUUUUUUCUCACUAAAAGGUUAACUGAAAAAAAAAAUAAUAAAGUGGGUUCAAUAAAAAUAAAAAUUAAUGGCAUGAACUGAUAAUAUUUGUAUUUUUGUUCAUUUAAAUAUUCUUAUAAUAUUAAUAUGUUUAUGUAAAUAAUCAUUGAGAACUUGAACAAUUUUUAUUUUUCUCAAAUUUUUUAUACUUUCAUUUUUUCAAAAUUUUUUUUUAUAUUUUUUGGAAAUUUUUUAGAAUUUUUAUUAUUUGAUUUUUUAAAGUUUAAAAAUUUUAUUUUUAAAACUAUUUAAAUAAAAUUUUAUUUAAAUGCUUGUUUUCCAUGUAUUUGAAAAUUUUUAGAAUUUUUUCUAAAAACACUCAAGACGACGAAAAUGUAUUUUGAGUUGUAUGUUAUACUUUUAAGCUUGUUGAAAAUGUAUUUUUUCAAAGUAUUCUAGUCCCUUGUUUGAGCCACAUUCUUCUAGAAAUUCAUUUUUAAAAACUCGUUUUCAACCACACAUUCUUUGAUAAAAUAAUAUUACACACAAAUUAAAAAAUUUCCUUAAUUUUUAACCACACAUUCUCUAUCAAUCUACUAUUUAAAAUGCAUUCUUUCCCCCCUAUAUGGGGCUCAAACAUGGGCUAGGUAGUAAUGCCAACAACUAAAAUUUAUAUGAAAGAACAAACAGAAUGUGCCCCGUGACUCGCUUCUUAAUCCUAAAGAUACAACAAAAUAAGGAAACCAUUGGGACAGGAAUUCAAGACAUUUCUUGCCCUUGUUAACUAAACGGCAUAUUAGAACAAAAUGUUCUUACGUUUGGCCUUUAAUACGCAAAAUGUGCCCACGUUUCAAAUUUUUGCAUUUUCAUUCUUAUUUUCACGUUUUAUGGAAAAUGUCAUUUUCAUCAAUUUUUAUCCACUUUCUUAAUUUAAAAUUGUAAAAUAAAAAAAUAUACCCUGUUAAUCAAAUAAAAAUAAAAGGAAAAAUAAAGAAAAAAUUACAAUCAUGCUCUCAAUUUUUUUUAAAAAGUACAAAUAAAUUCCAAAUAAAUUAAAAAAAAAUUAUCUUCUUCUUUCCUCUUCUUCUUCUUCUUCCUCUCCCACCCCUAUCCUUACCAAGAGCCAGAAAUAGUACUUUUGGGUCCUUCAAGCUCUAUUAACUUCUUGGGGGUAAUUUUCUAGUUUUGGAAAAAAGUUUGUCUUCAAGAGAUAUGAAGAACAGUGUCAAUGGUGGUGUGUCCAAUUGUAAGCAUUGCGAAGGCAACUGUUCAGUGGUUGCAAGAAAUUUGCAGCUUUUUAACAUUUUUUCUCCUUGCGACGAUAGCACCGCCACAGCCACCGUCGUCAAAUCUUCAGGUAAUUAAAUCACUGUUUCUUUGUUCUUGUUGUGUAAAUCAAAAGUUAAUUUUGCUUUGUUGUGUGAGCCCAGUUGGGAAUGUAUUCGCUGCAAAUAAGGUAUUGAAGAAAAGAAGAAUCUGGAAAAUGGAAAGCAUUCUCAUUCAAUUCAAUCGUUCAGUACAUAGGUGAGUAUAAAUAGAAAAACUAUCAACUAAUACAGCUGCACAUAGCUAAUACACAGCUAACUUCUAACUAAAUUUGGCGCCUAAAUCAUCUUAGCUGUGCUGAUCUGCUGAUGCCAAUAUGUUCCAAUACGCCCCCCUCAAGAUGGACUAUGGAGAUUGAUAAUAGCUAUCUUGGAGAGUAGAUGGAAGAAGAGAGAAGCUGGCAAAGCUUUAGUAAACAUAUCCGCCAACUGGUAAUGAGAACGUACAUGCAAUAAUUUGAUGAAACCAUCAGCCACCUUAUCACGAACAAAAUGACAAUCAAUCUCGAUGUGUUUUGUUCGUUUAUGGAAGAUAGGAUUGCUUGCAAUGUGGAUUGCAGCCUGGUUAUCACAAAAAAUCAGAGAUGGAGAUGAUGGAGAAAUCUGUAGAUCAAGGAGCAACUAAUGCAUCCAUGUUAACUCACUGGCAGUGGCUGCUAGUGCUCGAUAUUCAGCUUCCGCAGAUGAUUUAGAAACAGUCUGUUGCUUCUUAGCCUUCCAUGAAACAAGAGAGUCACCAAGAAAUACACAUAGUCCAGUGAUAGAUUUCCUUGAAUCAGGACAAGAACCCCAAUCUGCAUCAGCAAAUGCACGUAGUUGCAGUGAAGAAGAGGCUGAAAAGAACAAACCUUGGCCUGGGGCUGACUUAAGGAACCGUAAAAGAUGAUAAGCUGCAUCAAGGUGUGGUUGUCGAGAUUUGGAGACAAACUAAGUUUGUGUACAGUAAAAGUGAUAUAUGGGCGUGAGAUAGUUAAGUAGAGCAAGCGGCCAACAAGUCUGCGAUAGGAUGAAGCUGCUGUGUCUGAUAGUAAAUCACCAUCAACUGAGUUUAAACGAAUCUUAGGAUCCAUAGGCAAAGGGGCUGGCUUGCAGGCCAAAAACCCUGUAUCCUCCAGCAACUGCAAUGUAUAAUUCCUCUGAGAUAAACAUAUUCCUUUAUGUGAUCUUGCUAUUUCCAAACCAAGAAAGUACUUCAAUUUCCCCAAGUCCUUAAGUUUGAACUGACUAUGUAGAAAUGAUUUUAGAGAGGCAAUAGCAUUGAGAUCUGAACCUGUGAUGAUAAUAUCAUCGACAUAGACCAGCAAGGCAACAAAUGAAGAGCCUGAACCCUUUGUAAAUAGGGAAUAAUCGGUCUUGGAUUGAUGGAAACCAUGUGUAAUGAGAGCAUGGGAAAACUUGGAAAACCAUUGCCUAGAAGCCUGCCGAAGACCAUAAAUGGACUUGUGGAGCUUACAAACUGGUUUACCUCCUUUGAUGGCAUCAAUAGUCACAUUUGAAUACCCCUGAGGCAAAUCCAUAUAAAUCUCUUCAAAGAGAUCACCAUUCAAAAAGGCAUUAUUGACAUCCAAUUGAACAAGAUGCCAUUGAUUAAUGGCUACAACAACAAGUAAAGUUUUGACAGUGACCAACUUAGCAAUAGGUGAAAAUGUGUCAAUAAAAUCCAAUCCUUCUUAUUGGGUAUAACCUUUGGCUAUCAAACGUGCUUUAUACCUGUCUACACUUCCAUCAGGUCCAUAUUUGAUUUUAUAAACCCAUCUACAGCCAAUUGAAUGCUUUCCCUUAGGCAAACUGGUUAUGGUCCAAGUUUUGUUUAAUUCCAUGGCUGCCAAUUCAGCCACCAUUGCUUCCCUCCAGUGAUCAGAUGUAACUGCCUGGUGGUAAAACUGUGGUUCAGUAUUUGAAGAAACAUUAAGUAGAAAGGUUCUACGUGGGUGAGAAAAAGAUUUAUAUGAGAGAUAAUUGGACAAAGGAUAAACGGAGUUAUUAUCAGGAGGUGAUUGAUUCGUAAGCAGAUUGCAGUGAAAUUCACGAAUGUAAGAUGGAAUUUUACUCACCCUAGUUGUUCUUCUAGGUACAAAGUGCGAAGGCUGAUUGCAAUCAGGACUUUGACUACAAUCAAAGGUAGAAUUGGAAGAUUGUUCAAUGGCAGGUGAAUUAUUAUGUUCAAUCGAAUUGUCAUUGCUGACAGAAGUAUGUGAAUCUAAGGUGGAAUGAUGGAUGUAUGGAUCAGAUGUAAUGUGUGGUAAUACAAUAUAAGGGAAGGGAUCUAUCAAUUCUGAUGUUAAAGUUAUAGAAUGGAAAGGGAAAUAUUUUUCAUGGAAUACCACAUCCCUGGAAAUAAUGAAUGAUUUAGAGGAUAUAUCAUAAAGUUUAUACCCUUUAAUACCUGGAGGGUAACUAAGGAAAACAUAGGCUUUGGCUCUAGGAUAGAAUUUGUUUCUAUGAGAAGGAAGUGUGGAUGCAAAGCUAAGGCUUCCAAACACCCUGAGCGAAGUGUAGUCGAAUGGAGUUCCAUAUAGCAAAGAGAAUGGGGUCAUGUUCUUGAGGAUUGGAGAUGGAGUUCUAUUGAUUAGAAAGGUAGCAGUAAGGACACAGUCGCCCCAGAAUUGAAUAGGCACUCUUGACUGAAAGAAUAGUGCUCGUGCCACAUUGAGAAGGUGUUGAUGUUUCCUUUCUACAACUGAGUUUUGCUAAGGCCUUUCAACACAAGAAUAUUGAUGUAUGACACCUUUUGAGGCAAAAAAUUCAGCAAAACGAAGCUCUGGAGCAUGAUCAGAUCUAAACUUUUUAAUGACUGUAUGAAACUGAGUUUCAAUGAGGGCAAAGAACCUGGGAAUGAUAGAUUUUGCAUCUAAUUUAUGCUUCAUCAGAUAGACCCAUGUAAAGCGCGUACAAUCAUCGACCAAUGUCAAAAAGAAUCUGUGGCCAGAACAUGUUGGGACAUGGUAUGGACCCCAGGUGUCACAAUGUAUCGAAUCAAAGGCAUUCUUAGAUAAAUGGUUGUUAGAUACAAAUGACUGUCUCCUCUGUUUUGCCAAAGGACAAAUAUCACAUGGAGUUGCAUUGAAAUCUUUGUAACCACUACAUGUAAUUUUCAACUGUUCUUUCAUCAUGUCUAACCUUUGAAAGGAUAAAUGACCAAGCCUUUGAUGCCAAGUAUGUGAGGUCACAUUAUUUACAAUAGAGCAUACAGAAUUCUUACAGCCACUUAACAUAGAAUUACAUGAUGCAGCAUCCAAUAUGUAGAGACCAUCCACUCUAUUACACUUGCCAAUCACCUUCAUGUUGUCCAGAUUCUGAAUAGUACAGCAAUCAGGGAGAAAAGUGACAUUGAUAGAUGAAUUCCUAGUCAGUGAACUGAUAGACAAAAGGUUGAACUUAAAUUGAGGAACAUACAACACAUCCUCAAGGACCAAUUCAGGAGUUAUCUUCACUAUCCCAUUGAAAUUCACAGGUAUUCUUUCAUGAUUUGGCAGUGUGACGUGGGCAUUCUUGAUUGUUCUUAAUGUAUGAAAGGCUGACCGAUUGAAGCAUACAUGGCUUGUGGCUCCGAAAUCCAUUACCCAGUAUGUAUGAGAAUUCAACAUUAGAUUGAAAGAUAUAGAGAAACAAGUACCAGAGAUGUGAUUAGACUUAUUUUUGCCUAUCUCAGUACUGGUCUUUGCAUUUGUGCGAUAAUUGCUCAGCAUCUUCAUCAGCUGUUGGUAUUGAUUAUGAUUCAGGGUUUGCAGAAAUUUCUCAACAUUACUACCGGCUUGUUCUGGAAAUGAGUCAGAAACCUGAUUGACUGCACCAUGAUUUACUCGCCGAUUAGAUCCAAGAUCGGAUUUCUUUCUUUCAUUUUCAACACAGAAGGAGUGAUGAAGAAAAAGACGAUUUGAUCCAUCAUCAAUAGCGGAAUUGCUUAUUGAUGAUGAUUUAGAUGACUGAUUAUGAAAGUCUGCUUCUGCCAUGGAGAUGCAAAAGAAGCUUUAUCGGAAAAAAAUUACAGAGUUAUGGUGAUGAGGAAGCAAAGUUGCUCUGAUACCAUAUUGAAGAAAAGAAGAAUCUGGAAAAUGGAAAGCAUUCUCAUUCAAUUCAAUCGUUCAGUACAUAGGUGAGUAUAAAUAGAAAAACUAUCAACUAAUACAGCUGCACACAGCUAAUACACAGCUAACUUCUAACUAAAUUUGGCGCCUAAAUCAUCUUAGCUGGGCUGAUCUGCUGAUGCCCAUAUGUUCCAAUAUAAGGUGUAUCCUUUUACAUCCUCUCCAAGGAAGGAGCUUGAAAGACAAGCCAUGAUCUAUAACCACGUGAUGGCCUCUAUGCCUAUGCCUGCUGAUCUUCCCUAUCCUACACCACCAAACCCUUCAAUUCUUGUAAAUCGGCCCUUCUUUUUUCUUCUAUGAUUUGUUUCUAUUACACGUUUGGUAAUUAGAUGUGGAUUUUAAGCAAAUGUUCCUUGGUAUUGGUGUUUGAGUACAGUGAUCAGUCAUCUGAAAAGGUACAAGUGAAUGAAUGGAAAAAAUGGAGAUGCUCAAGAGAUGUGGUGCCCCCCAUCACAAGGACUGUGAGGCCACCUGCGGAAAAGCUGCCUCUCAUCAAGAAAGUCUGUGGAAGUCAAGAACAAUGCCGUUGACAAUAACGAGAAGAAAAUCCCUCUUUUGUGUAAUCCUAAAACUGAUCUAAUUAUUUCUACAUCCUCUAAUAAGAAAUAUGAGAGGUUGGUUUUUAGUACUUCUACAUGCUCUAGUACUCUCAAUCUAAUUUCUGGUUUCGUUUUGCGGUAAGGGUGAGGGGUAAGGGUAGGGCGUAGGUGGAAGAAGAAGACGAUUUUUAUUUUCUUUUUUGAUUUUUUUAAUUUAAUUUAUUUAGAAUUUAUUUGUACUUUUUUUUUAAAAAAAUAGUAGUAUUAUUGCAAUUUGUUCUUUAUUUUUCUUUUCAUUUCCUUUUGUUUUGUUUAAAUAGAAAAAUAUAUUUGUCAUUUUACAAUUUAUAAUUGAGAAACUGGAUAAAAAUUUAUGAAUAGUGAUUUUUUUACAAAGAAACGUGAAAAUAUGGGUGAAAAUGUAAAAAAAAAAAUGAAAUGAAUGGAUGUUUUGUAUGCUAAACGUCAAACGUAGGGACAUUUUAUGCUAAUUAGCCUAAAUUAAACUAUUAGACGCACACAAACAAAAAUGACCACAAUGUGUCCAUAAUUAGAUCACAAAUUUUGCAUUGCAAUGUGAUAUAUAAUGUAACAAAUAAUGCAACCUUUUAAUCCUAAUGCAAUAAAUGUAUCAUAUGAUACUUCACUUUUAUCAAAUUCCCUAAAUCAAUGUUACUUAUUGUGUAAUCCAAAACAGAAAAUAAUGAGACUCUUCAAACAGUUAGCUCAAGAUAAAGAUUGUUUCACAACUUCAUUGCAACAUUUGUAUGCAAUAAAAUGUGGUAUGGGAAACAAAUCCAGAUUUUGAAAUGUAAGACAUUAAGGCGAAAAUAUCAAUUUUUGUUUAAUUUUUAAAUAGAGGUGACAUUUCAAUGUCCUCUUAAUCCAUUAGAGAAAAAUAAUAGAACCUCAUAACAAUUGGUUCACAAGUAACGAACACUAUAAGAGAUGUAACAAACAAAUUUAUCAAGUUAGACAUUCAUAUUGUAGUAAUCUUUGAAACCAAAGCAAUCAACUCAACAUUUCAUUAAAAGUUUGAAAAAAGGGAAAAUCGCCAACUUUUCUUCCAGGAGACAAGCCAACGGAUACAAUUUGAUAAGUUUAGCAGAUCACUGAUUUUGCUGGUUUAUUGGAUAAAAUGGAGUAAUCAAUCGAUUUUUUUAUUUUUUGCCAUUUUUUGUGGAGUCAAUACCUAAAAUGAAGUCUUCAUGGAUUCCUAUUAUAUAUAUACGCCUAUCUUCCCCUUUGCAUCUUCAACAGAAGCUCAAGUGCACGAAGACCCUCUUACUUAAGUAGGUGUUAUCACUUAAAAAUCUCCGGGUCAUUCUUCAAGACUACCACCUUCCUUCUCUUUGGGCAUUGGAAGAUGAAUAUAUAUAUAUAUAUAUUUUCGAAGUAAAAAAAUUUAAAUAGUAGUUUGGAAAUUUUUUAUUUAUUAGAUUAUACGUGUAAAUUUCCCAUAUUUUAAUUAGAAUGUCAUGGAAUAAUUUUUUAAAUAUAAUUCGUAUUAUCUAAAAUUUAUUUGUUUAAAAGUUAAAAUAUGGCACCAUUAAUAUAUGAAAUAUAAUAAAGGAAUAAUAAAUACCAAAAUUUCUUGUAUUAUCUUCAAUUAUUUUUAUCCUUUUUAAAUUUCAUUUUCAUAAUGUAUUAUUGGACAUUAACAAAAGAAAAAUAACAAAACAUUUGGCCAUGCGGUUGCAUGGCCAUAACACAAAACUUGGAGGGGUUUUUUAGGGUGAACCAUGUGACCGCAUGGGAUUACACCAUGCGGUCACAUGAUUAUAAUUUUCGACCGUUGGAGGCUGUUUUUUGAACAUUGUUUAUUUGAUUUUGGUGGCAUUUCUUGCACUUUGGCACCAUCUCAUGUUUAUGGAUGAGUCUAUAAAUAAUGGAGUCAUGUGUAAGGCAAAGAGAUAUAGAAAAUACUUGAGAUCCAAAAAUUAUUCCACAAACAAUUAAAAUUAUAUUCCUAUUUCUUCUUUGUGUUAUUCAAGUUUUGACAGAAAAUACUUUGUACUUUAGUAUUUUCAGCAUCAAGGCUUAUUAAAUCCUUCAAACUAUUUGCUGGAAUACCCUUAAGCAUCUCAUUUACACUGGAGAUGCGGCAAAUAACGUUUGAGAACAGCGAUCUCGCGUUCAAGCCUUCGAAAUUGUUAUUGACAAUUUUCUAAUUUCUUCAUCUUAUCACUGCAAUUUUUGCGUUAUUCUUUUUGUUUCUUCUCUAUCGUUCCAAUUAUUUACAACAUGCUCGUCUCCAACAAACUGCUUUGUCAUAACCUCAUAAGACCUAGGAUCCUUGUCAAACUUCGAUGCAGCUUCUUGAUGCCCAUAAUCUACACGGAAUAUGCGAGGCCACUGCCAACAUUCAACAGAUGGAAAAUUAAUGAAUGAUGUCAAGAAAGUUUACUUGGGAGGGAAAGUACAGACAGAUUUCAUAUUUUUAUUUUCAUUAUCUUGGUAAAAUUAUAUUAAACGUCCAAAAUUCAGAAUCUGCAUUUUAAAUAACAAGCACCAAAUACAAGAAGUCAACUCAUAUUCUUAUAUAAAUAAAUAUACCAUGCUCUAUACACCACAUAGGUGAUGACAUAAGACAACCAGAAAAGGAAAAAAAAAAAAAAGCCUUGCUACAUGUACACCGAGCCUUACAGCUCGGUGUACAGCCCCCUCACAUUGGGGGGCUGCCGAUUAAAAAAAUGGGCGUGGGUCCCCUCUACAGUGAGGGGGUUGUACUUGUACAGGACUUUUGGUGCUAUACAAGUAGGUUAAUUGAAAAAAAAAAAAAAAACCAUUUUUAGCUAAGACGUACAGAAUUUGGAAUAAUUAAGUCUGCAAAAGUUAUACUUGAGCAUGUUUGGCAAAGCGCAAAAGUUUUUCCAAACAAGCUUGGAAAACUUAUUCUUCUCUUAGUUAUAAGUAAAAGGUUACUUAUUAUGACAGUAAUUACUUGUUUAUUUCCAACUUUUAACAACAAAACAUUUUUUAUCGUGAGGAAGCCCCAACAAGUGGUAGCGCUUACUGACUUCAUGGCUUAGCAUGGUUCCAUUGGCCCGAUUUAUAUUGCAGAUUGGUGAAUUAAUGUACACAAGGAGACUUUUCUCUGUAGCAGGUUUGGACAAAGCUAUUGGUUUGUCAUCCAAGGCCAUGUCCUCAAGGAACAGCACCUCCUUAUUUAGAAAAUUUUAGAAGCUCCUUCCCAUUUCUUGAAGCAACGUAAUAAUCUGGAGAAUUCUGCUAUCCACCACCAUAGGAAGAGUAAUCUAAAAUAUCUCAUCAUGCUGGAAUUAUCUAGAAGACAAAGCUACUGCCAUAAUUUGCCUAUAAAUGUGUGUAUGCUGUAUGAAAUUUGUGUACUGGAAGUGUGAAGUGGGAGACAGAGAGAGAAGCAGAGUGGGUAGAGAGUGCUUUCUUUAAUAUAAAUUAAGAAUGGUGUGUGCUUGGUUUGUAAAAGAAAUCCUUCAAUAAUAAAUCACAUUUCGUUUGUUGUUUAAUUUCAAAAAUUUGGUAUUAGAGCUAGGUGAUUUGGAAGGAUUUUUAGCUUUUUGAGUUCGUGCAAAAGAGGAGUUUAUGAAGCUUUUGUAAAGCUUGUUUGAUUAUGAAGAGUAAAUCAAGUCACGAUGGACAACCUACAAGUGGUAAGCGGUGUAAAUAAGCUCAACAAUCAUAAUUACACCACUUAGCAAACUUGUAUGGAAUCAUAUCUCCAACGGCAAGACUUGUGGGACAUAGUUGGAGCUCUGGAGAAUCAAAGCAGGUAAGGCUUUAUUUGUAAUAAAAACAACAAUCGAAGAGGAAUUAUUGGAAUACAUAAGAGACAAGACCACACCAAAGGAAGCAUGUGACACUUUAGCCUCAUUAUUCUCAAAGAAAAAUGAUUUGAGGUUGUAGCUUCUGGAGAAUGAGUUUCUCUCGAUCACUCAUGGAGAAUUAACGGUAAGUCAAUAUUUUAAUAAAGUUAAAUAUCUCUGUUGUGAAAUUUCUGAGUUAGACGCUUCAAGUAAGAUUUCGGAGUCCAUAAUGAAGAGAAUAAUCAUAUAUGGUUCGAGACCUAAAUUUCGAAGUUUUAUUGAAGCAAUUCAAGAUUGGCUAGAACAAUCUUCAUUGGUCAAUCUUGAGAAUUUGUUGUCCGAUCAAUAAGCAUUAACUAGACAAAUGUUAGGAGUGUUGAUAAGGAAAGAAGAUGAAAAAGUAUUAUUUAGCUACAAAAGAAGAGGCCAAUUUCGUCAGCAAAAUUAUAAAGAAUUAAAAGAAAAUAAAUUUAAAGGAUGGAUUGAAGGAAGCUACCAGAUAAGGAGAGCUUAACAAAAUUGUGAUAAGAGAGGUAAAAGAUAUCAACGAUCUAAUGACUCGUGUUUUGUAUGUGGAAAAUGAGGUCAUUAUGCUAGAGACUGUUGAUUUAAAAAAGGGCCAGUAGAAGGUAAUGUAGCUAUCUCCAACAACGAAGAUAAAUUCACUAGUGAAGAAGAAUGGGAUGAUGAGGCAACCACAACAACAAUUGAGUAGGCUCGAUAAAGGAAAUUUAAUUCUAAUUUAAAGGAUGAAUCAACAUUGGUGGUAGUCUUGCCUGAGCAAAUGGAUUGUAAAGAUGAUUGGACUGAUAACUCAGGAGAAGAUGAUUUGAUUGGUGAUUUAGGAGCAGAUGAUUGGAAAGAUGACUUAGAACAAGUCAUCUUGUUUCAUGAAGAAUCUUUAGAGUGGACUCCACAGAGGGAGGAACUACUAAAAUUAGAAGAAAUGUUAAAACACAGACACCAGAGAGGGUGGAAUUGUUAGAUUUAAAAGAAAUAUAUUCUUUGGAGACACCGCAAGGGAUGAAGCAGACAUCAAAGAAGAUAGAUCUGCUAAAUUUACCGGAAACAAUAGAGGUACAAUAAUCAAAUGAUGAGAAGUUUAUUAGCGCAAUACAAAGUCCUUGGCAAAUAGGUAUGCAUUAAGUAACACCAGAUGAAAUUAAGCCAAGUCAACAAAAAGCGUUUGAGGUACGUACAGAUUUACACUCACAAAGAAGAAAAUCGGGUGCACGUGAGAAUUCAAGUACCAAGUAUGCCAAUCUAAAAAUCAAUGAAGAAAAAAGCAUGGAUAUGCUGAAAACUUCAAAAUUUUGUCAAGGCAAAGUUGGACAUGACGAAAAAGAAAAGAGACAAAAUGAAAAGUCGGUGUUGAAGAGGAGAAUUGAAGAUACAGCACCGCCUUAUUUAGAAAAUUCUAGGAGCUCCUUCCAAUUUCUUGAAGUAAUGUAAUAAUCUGGAGAAUUCUGCUAUCCACAUUCAUAGGAAAAGUAAUCUAGAAUAUCUCAUCAUGCAGGAAUUAUCUAGAAGAUAAAGCCACUGCCAUAUUUUGCCUAUAUAUGUGUGUGUAUGCUGCAUGAAAUUUGUGUGCAGUAAGUGUGAAGUGGGAGACAGACAGAGAGAGAAGUGGAGUGGGUAGAGUGUGUUUUCUUCAAUAUAACUUAAGAGUGGUGUGUGCUUGGUUUGUAAAAGAAAUCCUUUAACAAUAAAAUCACUUUUCGUUUGAUGUUUAAAUCCAACAAUGUCCAAACCAUGAUCCUGUUUCUUCACACAAUAUUGUGCAGCUUCUGGACGAAUAUCAGUAGCUAGUCGAAGUAGUAAGAACAGGUCAAUAUUCUUUAGCUUUUCAUUGUUUUUGGCCAAACACAAGCUUGUGACAAGUAGGCAUAUAUUUAUUUCAAAAAGAAAAAAGUUCGAAAAACUUGCUUUGUAAAACCAAAAAUCUCCUCGAAAUUUCUCCCUCCUGGAUGUAUAAAGUUAUUUUGACUUUGUAGAGAGACCUUUAUAGUGAAGGUGUGAUUUUCGGUUUUACCUUUUUGUUGUAGUUUGCCUUUACAUUUAUAGUUAUACAGAUGCAGAAAGUGUUUGGAAUUUGUGGAGUAAGUUUAUAUUGUUUUUUUUUCUCAUUUUUUUGCGAUUUUGUUUGCUUUGAAUUUGUGUUAUGCUAUUAUAAUUGCAUUUAUCUUUUACAUUUUUGGGUUUGGAAGAAACCGAAGUUUUUCAAUGGUCUUUUUAGAUUUUUAAAUUUUUAAUCUUUUUAAUUAUUUUGGAAAGUUUAACAUUUUUUUGUUCUUUCCUUUUACAGUCAUGUUUGUUUUGGACUUUUAUUUUUUUUUUCUCUCUUUUUUUUACUCGCAAUCAACUUUUCUUACUCUCAUUUUCAAUGACUGGUGAGUUGUGAUUUUAGUUUAAGUUGCUCUGGAGUUUGAAUUUUGGAAGAAUCGUAGUUGCCUUCAAUCUUUUUCUUUAUAUGCUUGCAAGUCAUGUAAGUUUUGUGACAAAGCUUCAAAUGCACUUUUUUACUGAAUUACAUGCCCUGCUAUUUUCAUUUUGAUGUUGGGCAAUCUUCAAUCUUGACUAGAUAUUAUUUUCAUAUUUGACUUGGGACCUUGGGAUUUUGUAUUCCUUUAUUUUGUUUGGAUUAAGAUUGUUUUUCACGGUUGAUUUUUCAAGCAAGCAACAUGUAGGCCUGCCCUUAAUAGGGUGGGUAUGGUGCUACUAAGAGUAUAUUUGGUAAUGUUUCUAAACUGUGUGUCCUACGAAAAUGUUUGGAUAAUAAAUGGGUAACGACUGUGGUUUCUUCGAGAUGUGUGGAUAAAAAGUACGUUUAUCAACUUAAAUUAUAAUUUAAUUUAAGUAGGUGCCAAACAAGCACUAAAUGGAGAAUGGACCAGGCAUGGAUGGUCACAUCAGGUUUUGGACAUUGUACAUGGAUAGGCUAAACCUGCUGUGAACCUGUGCCAAUUAUGUAAGUUUACCACAUCACCGUAGAGGGAAUUGGUUUACAAUGUUAAGUUUGAUAGUAUAGGGUCGUUUCUCUCUCCCGAAGUUUUCGUUCUUCUCUCACAUGUAUAAAUAUUAUCUAAUAAGACAUGUGCUUGUAAUGACUGUAUUAAUUACGUGUAUUUAGCUUCAAAUAGGGGGUGUAUGCUUUAAUUUUGGCUGACAAUGGGGGAUAGGAUGAGAUCAUGUGGAGAAUCUUAGGGAUGGGACCGAUGCAAGUCUGAGGGUGAAUCUUGGGGGUGGAAAAAUAUGGGAUCUGCAAGUGAAUCUUAGGGAAGGUCCAGCAUUGGGUAGAUGUGUAAAGCUUAUUGUAUGCAAGAGUGAUUAGCAUUCCUGUUGCGUUGCUUUUCCUAUAUAGUUGACUGUGGGAGUAUAAUUCUAAAAUUGAAAAUCUCAAUGGUAAAACUGAAACAGUUGUACAUUUAAUAUAUACCUCUUAUUGAACUCUUUUGAAAAUUCCCUAGGAACGCUUUGCUAAGUCAAAUUCAAAUUUAGGCUUUACCAAGUUUACGUUCUAGAUUACCAUUUAACCAAUUUGACCUUACGUACGGAAUUAAUCUAACUAAAGCAACAAGUCACUUUAAUUCGUUAUCUAGGUGAUUAAACAUACAAGUCCAGUUAAUCCUAUGUUGAACUACAGGUCUGCGUAAUGUAAAAUAAACAAUAAACACAGCUUAUAGUUUGUUGACAGAGAAACCCAAUGUGGGGAAAAAUUUCGGGACCAAGCCAGUGAUAUCCACUUUACCAAUCAUCAAGUACAAGUUAUACCAAACUUCGUACCUAAUCAAACCCGUUAUUCUAGUCUCAUGAUCUACUAUUGUAGAUGCUUCUAGCCUCCUGCUAAACUUCUUGAUCUACCUCCUGCAGCCCAAUCUACUGUCCACUACAGCCUCCUGGUCUUUAACUGAUUGUAUCACCAAGUGGAAUUCCAAAAACCGCCAGUUUUGUCCAAUCACUACGCUUAUUGUCCAUCUCUCUCAAUCUUCCAAUGAGAGAGUCCAUUCCUCAACAGAUUAAGGAAUCACGUGUUUUAUCUUCAGGAACCUUGAUAUUUUUCCCCAAAGAUAGGUUACUGGAUCACAAGAAUUAAGUUGAUGAAUUCUGCAAUUAAUUUCGCCUUGGAUCACUUCAAGAAUCUUGCAGUUGUUAUAGAGAUGAAAGCUUGAUGUUGCAACCCCUUUUCUUACGACCCCAACUUGUUCUAUUUAUACUUGGGGGUUAAAUGUAUCUUGGGCCGUGUAAAAAUCUCGAAAAAUGUGAAUUAGGGUUUUUCAGAUAGCACUUGCUCGAGCGACAUUCCAAGGAAAAGCGAGCGAUAGGUUUUUGGUCGAGUGAGUCCAGGGCAAAAAGCUAGCAACGAUGAUUUUGCUUUUUAUGCUCGAGCAAUGGCAGGGCAAAAAGUUAGCGAAAUUUUGACGCUGCAUUCUUGAUUUGAUCCUUAGACUCAAACCCUAGUCCCUACCAACCAACUUUACAAAAUUGCACCCUAAGUCCCCGACUUUUACAACAUUGUUCAAUUGAGUCCCUGGCUUUUACAAUUUUGUAAUUAAGUCCGUUUUGUCUUACAGAAUUGUCAAUUACAAUUUUUUGGACUAACAUCUUUGAUCAUUGGAUUUUUUGCCCCUCUUAUAGAUAUUUGGUGCCUUUUUGUACUUAUUUUCCUUAAAGUUGUGAAACUACUUGUUGGAAAAAGCUUAUGGGAAUCAAUCUGCUUGAAGAGAUGCUUCAUAUUGUCAAUAUUUCUUUGAUCAUCAUGCUUUUGCCACUCUUUUAGGUACUUGGAACCUUUUGGUACUUGUUUUCUAUAGAACGUGAAACUACCUACAGGCAGAAUGCUUGUGGGAAUCAAUUUGCCUGUAGACAUGCUUCACUGUAUUAUGGGGCGAUCAUACUAUAUAUAAAAAUUUUCUGAACGAAGCCUGUCCCAUAGAGAAUGCAAAUAAGACACUUUUUGAUUUGGGGAUAUUCCUGGAUGCUCUUCAGUCUGGAGUUGUGGAAUCAACAGAUUUUUCGCAGAAGUUCUUCUACUGUUUCUGGUGGGGAUUGCAAUAUUUGAGGUGUGCUUGUAUUUGAUUUCUGUGCUCAUAUGUUGAUUUUGCAUAAUGGUUCAUGUUAAUAUGCCUAAUUUCAAAUUCUCCAACAUCCGUUCUUAUAGUUUCAAAAAGGGUUGUUUCAUAAUCUAUUGAAAGCCAAAGUGGGCUUUAUAAUAGGAAGCCAAGGCAAGUAUUAUAAGAAUGAGGUUAGAAUGUAGUCACAUAUUAAAUGAAUUACAAUUAGUUUAGUGCCUCAGUGUCUACCCUUAUUUAGAUGGAUGGUCAUCUUUUAUUUAAAGAAGACGAAGAAAACCUAUUUGUUAGGUACUUCAGUGCAUCACACUGCUUUAGCCAGUUCAAAGAAAAUAAAUAAAAUGAGAUAAAAGUGAUUCCGUUCAUCUCAUAGUAGGUGUCUUGCCAAUAUUUUUUCUUCACCUGCUGUCUUCUCUUAAUAUUUGGGCUGCAGGUUGUGGUAAUAAAAUUGAAUGAUGAGUAGGAUCAGAAUUUUCAAAUUUAAUAGAGUUCGAUGGUUUGAGCUAUUGACAAGUACUCUAUCUCCUAACCUAAGAGUUGUUUGUGAGAUUUUAAUCCCCAUUCCCUUAAUUUCUAUUUCAUCUACGUCUUCUUCUUCUCAUAGUGGACAAUAAUAUUCCUGUGAAAAAUGGGACGUGAAAUGCAUGACCUCCAUCAUAACGAUCAAUUUCACGAGCUUAAGAUUUUUGUUCUUGAAGCUUUUUUUAUAUUUAGAGGGUCUAAUUUAGCAUUUAUAUUUUACUUGUCUGAUGUUGCAGUUCCCUUGGUCAGAACCUCAAAACGAGUACCUUUGUUUGGGAAAUUUGCUUUGCAGUUUUCAUCUUCAUCUUUGGCUUAGUGCUUUUUUCAUUUCUUAUUGGAAAUAUGCAGGUGAGUGAAUUACAUCAUUGUAUCUAUUGUUCAUUCAAGUUGUUUUUAGGGAACAAUAUCCUUGUGUGUAGCUUAACAAAGUGGUGCACUAAGAAAUUACUUAGCGUUAUUUUACUAUUACGUAGACAAAUAAAAUGAAAAUGUUUAAGUUUUAAUUGAUUAUUUCUAGAAACGUUUUAACUGAAUCUUCCUUUGAGAAUGGUGUAAUACGGAUUUUGACAAGUCAAAAUGAUCAUUAGAGUUGUCAAAUUUUAACGCCUAAGGACUGUUACAGUUACAGUUUUUUGUAUAAAUAUUUUGUGCAAAUAAAGUAUCUGGAAUUGAUUGGAAGCUUAAAAAAGCCAGCUACUAUAAUAUUUUAUCUCAAGAUGGUUUAAAUUUUGAAACCACAAAAAUUCUGCAAUCAGGAGUUUGAAAAGUCCCAAGGGUCGCAUUAUCAAUCCUAGGUUCUAACAAAUAUUUAUGCUCGUGGUGUGACAGAGUUUUUUGCAGUCCACAACUCUAAGAUUAGAGGAAAUGAGAGUGAAAAGACGAGAUACAAAAUAAUGGAUGUCUCACCGUUUACUUCCUGAAAGCCUGAGGGAGAGGAUCCGGGGAUAUGAACAGUACAAAUGGCAGGAAACUAGAGGUGUUGAUGAAGAGAAUCCGGUUGGAUAUAAAGCGCCAUCUUUGUUUGGCUCUUCUUAUGAGAGUGAGUUCUUCUUCCGCAGCUUACACUGUGCCAUACUGUUUCUUCCUAGAUUUAUAUCAAUUCAUUGCUCUAUAAUUGUCAUUGUAAAUUAAAUAGUCAUUUUUAUCAAGAGUCAGGUUGCCCUAGAAUACUGAUGAAUUUAGUACUUAUGGAUGUUUAAUUCUUCAUGGCUUGGCUGCACCUGUUUAUAUUUAACUACUUUAAACUAAAAGCUUUAGUUGUAAGAGAAGGGUACAUGUAAUAUCAUAUAAAUCUUGUUUUCAACACGUUCCACCUCUCAUGUAGGCGGGAUACAUUUUUCCCCAAGUCUUAAACACUUGCACAAUUUCAUGGUGCUGACACUUGAACACCACCCCCACCCCCACCCCCCCCAAAAUGAGCUUUGCUUUCUACACUUGAUUGAAAAGCUUAAUCUAAAUCUUCAUCCCAUUUACUUAUUUUGUGAUAGAAUAUUAAUUACCAUUUCUAUGUUAUCAUGCACUUUAAUAGGCCUAAUCGUCAACAAUAUUUUAGGUAUCGAUGUUUGAGAAAAUGGACGAACAACUCUUGGAUAUAAUGUGUGACUACCUGAAGCCAGUGCUUUGCAUGGAACAGGGUGGUCUAGUUGACAUGAUGAUGUUUAUAAUGUGGGGCAAACUGCUAAUAGCAACCAUAAAUGGAGGACGAACUGGCUUUUUGAAUUUUGAUUAUUUGAAAGCUGGUGACUUAUGUAGAGAAGAGCUUCUUACUUGGACGCUUGACCCCUAUUCAUGAUCUAACCUCCCUAUCUCAACAAGAACCGUACAAGCCCACUCUGAAGUUGAAGUAUUUGCAUUUGUGGCCGAUGAUUUGAAGUUCGUAGCUUUCCAAUUCAAACGAUUACACAGCAAACAGCUCUGUCACAUGUUUAGAGUUUACUCACAGUAAUGGAGGACUUGGGCAGCUUGUUUCAUUCAAGCAGCUUGGUGUCGUUAUAGUAGGAAAAAGUUGGAGGAGCCGCUUCGAGAAGAGGAAAAUUGGUUGCAAGAUGCAUUAGCGAAAGGUGGUAGCAGCUCCCCAAGUUUGGGUGCAACCAUUUACGCCUUGCUUUUCACUACUAACGCAUUACAUGCUUUGCGGAGGAACAAGACAAGAAAGUCAAGGAUGCCGGAACGGAUAUCGCUUGUCCUGCUUUAGAAGCCCGCUGAACCUGAUUUCAUAGCUGAAGAUGAAUAAACUAUACAGUAUGUUAUUAAGUUAUAUUACUUUCAGUCUCUUUAAUUUUGGUACAAGUUAGUUGUGUGGCUUGAUUCUGUUGUUUAUGAAUGUAAUUGCUAGAUCAGAUUAUGAUACAUGUGGAAAUCAUACGUGUAGACGUUUGUAUGAAAAUGUGCAUGUGUGGGUAGGUGGGGUAGAAAAGGCAUGGUAUGGGAAUAAGGUUUGUUCUUUUUUUUUUUUUUUUUUGAAAAAUAAACUCAAAACAUUAUAAAACAAAAAGUUAUUCACAGAUAAGUUUGACCAGCAAAUCAAUAAAUAUUACAUACUUGUAUUUUGUUCGCUCAACUUACUUUGAUACCUUGAGUUGAAGAAAUAUUCAGGUGUAUACUUCUAUUACAUGUAUUUGUUAUCUAUUACCAUCUGUCCACUCUCCAAAAUACGAGAAGGAACAUGUAAUAACAAAAGGGAACUACAAUAGUGGAUUCUUCUGGUAGGCUUGAGAAAUCUUGAAGAGUUUUCACUUCCCUCUUGACGAAAGAUGGCAAGGCAAAUGUAGCUUUUUGAAUCUAUCAAGCAUACACAAAUGGAGAGAAUUAUGAUGUCAAAACAAAUUGUUCUUGCAUUAGAAUCUUCUGUUGUUCAUUGUAAAAUAUUUCCACAAUUGGUUUCAAACUAUAUUACUUUUAAAGUUUGACCUUUUUUCCUCUGUACAAGUUAAAUAAGCGAUACUAAAGUAGGAUAAGAAAAUGAAAUAUAUGCAAACAAAGAGAUGGAAUGACAACUUAUAUGUUCGGGCAUGUUUGUAUGGGCUAAAGAAGCUCCCUUUUGUAAGAAUAAGCUGUUCUCAGACCACACUGGAGGGUGGGGUUUAGACUUUUGAUGAACUCCAAGUCCAAUAGAAGUAAAUCCUACAGCCAAUCUAGCAACGACAAAGAAAGCGAUACAUAUUGGUAGAUUGAAGAUAAGUUCGUAGCACUAGAAUAAGAAAUGGUUAAGAGUACACACCCCCAUCUCACUAUGAUACCUGGCCAUGCCCCCAAGUUAUUAUUUUAACUGCAAGAACGAGGAUGGCAAAGGUGAGUUCAGAAAGGUGAAAAAAAGAAGAUAGGAAGUGUAAAGGUGCAAACCAAAACUAACGUUGACAUAUUGUAUUUGCUAAAGACCUAGCAAUGAACUAAAUGUAGUGGCGAAGAAGAUUCUUGUAGCCGUCUUCAAAUUUAUUGGGAUCAAAACUUGGUUUCUUGUUGUAGCAUGUUUUUAAGGGCAGGGUACACUAUUUUAACAGUAGAACAACUUAGCAAUUCAUGAUGUUUCUAUGAAUUUGUUGAGGACUAGAUUCUAGUGAACAGUUACAUAGAUCUUCGAAUAUUAAAAUUCAAGAAUUAUUCACUUGGAACUUUUGGGACAGUUUCAUAAUUUUGAUAAAAUAUUUCCAUUUCCCAUAAAUAAAUUUUAAGUUUCUUCAUACUUCUUUUCUACUUUGGCCAUGCCACUUAAUACGUAGUUAACGUGCAAACAAAUAGGUAAUCAUCUUAUUAGUAGUUUAGCACAAUUUAAAGGAGGAAAGAAAAUACCUGAGAGUUGUAAAAUUUGAGUUCCCUUCGACACUCUCGAUUGGACAGAUAGGGUGAAUAGAGUCAAAGAGUGGACCUUCCGUUGAGCAUAACAAAAAUCCUUUAACACAACUGUGUAAAAUAUGCAAAAACUAAAUGUAGACAUAAAAAAAUAAAGAAAGAAAGAAAAUGAAUUGGGUCGAUUUAAACAAUUAACCCAAUUAAAUUUUAAGUCUACUAAGGUUCAUAAACCCGAAAGCCCAUAUCACAUUUUAAAUAAAUAAAUAAACAAACAAACAAGUAAAUAAAAUCAUAAUUACUUCAUUAUUCAUUUUUAAUUGAAUAUAAUUAGGUGAUUACCAAAACUAGCACAAACUUUCUCCUAUAAAUAGGACCAAUGGUCCAUAAAAUAGGAGAUGAAAGCAAAACAAGAAGGGCAAGCAAGAAGCAAGAAACUAAGCCGAGAACGUAAUCACGAAGUGCAGAAGAAAUUCUAAGGCCGAAGGAAGGAAAGAAAUUCUCUCAAACCUAAACUCGGUGAAACAAACAGGUUCACGCUAAGUCCAAGAAGAUCAAAGUCUUUUUCAAAUCAAAUCAAAUUCAAGUCCAAGUCCAAGCCCCAAGAUUCAAGUUUCGAACAAGUCAAGUUUCAAUAAAUCAAAUUUUCAACAAAUUCUUGAAGAUAGGAUUUAAGCCACGCGACCCUUCGUCUUCAAAUAUUCAGAUCAUUAAUUGGAAAUUUUUUACAAUUUUGCAAUUAUAAGAAAUUCAACAUCACUCGUAUUUUAUCAAAAUAGAAUUUGCAACAAUUUCUGUAUUUUAAUAUACAAAAAUUCGUUGUACAAAUUUCUUGGCACGCUCGGUGGGACCUUUUUAUGCUCUCAUCUUUUGAUCUCAAAAUCUUCAAGUUUCAACUACUACUUCAGUAAUGGCAGGCAAAAAGUCGAAACAAACUAUGACUCAUCUUGAAGAGACACUUGCCGAAUUCUUCCAUACGACCAGGGUCCAAACAAAAGUUGGGAAAGCUCAACUGGUCACACCACUGAAGAAGUUCUCAAACAAAGGUAAAAUGAAAAUUGCCUUCAAAAAGCUAAACACUCAUUCGACCGAAAAGACCAUGAGUUUAGCGAAAAACUCUCAUUCGGGUUCUAUUUUCAGUGAUAGAUCCUUGCCUGGAUCUCCUCAUACUACUUCUCAGUAAAGGUGGGAAGAUGAAGAAUCACUUGAGCCAGUGAUGGUCAUAGAAGUAGUAUCGAGCUCAGAUGAUCAAAUUCAACAAAUGGUUUUAGCCAUUGAAAUAUUAACAAAGUCCUUAGAAGACAAAGAUGUACAGAUUAUUGCACUCAUGCACAGCUAGAGUUGCAAAAUCCACCGGCUCAAGAAGAUUAAGAAAAUUUAGGAUCUUCCAAGGCCAAAGAGUUAGAAGUCCAAGAGUGCCAACAUAAGCAAGAUAUACAUGGUCGGACAGUAGUUCAAAAUGUGUUGCGUGACACUAUUCAACUCUUCAUUGGCUCUGUGUCUAUCCAACAACUUCAACGUAUGAUUGCAGACACCAUUUAUGCCUAGUAUGGUGGUUCAUUGCAAUCUUUAUUGGUGUAUGCUAAGCCCUAUAGUCGUCAAAUCGACAAAAUAAAGAUGUCACUCGGUUACCAACCUCCGAAAUUUUAGUAUUUUGAUGGAAAGGGCAACCCAAAGUACAAGUUGCUCAUUUUAUUGAGACGCGUAAAAAUGUAGGUACUUACAAUGACAUUAUGGUGAAGCAAUCCGUACGUUACCUCAAAGGUUCUGCAUUUGAAUGGUACAGGCACUUACCGGCAGGGUCAAUUGAAAGUUGGGAUCAGAUCGAGCAAGAGUUUCUAACAUGUUUCUACAGCACCCGGCGAACUGUCAGUCUUUCAGAACUUGCUCAAACAAAGAAGAGUGAGGAGAGCCUGUUGUGGAGUACAUUGAAUGCUGGAGGAACCUCGUGCUUAAUUGCAAAGAACGAAUAAGUGAAGCAAGGCAUGUGUGUACAAGGCAUGCAGUGGGGAUUACUCUAUAAUCUCCAAGCAAAUAUGCCUCACUCAUUCGAAGAAUUGGCAACAUGUGCUCAUGACCUGAAGCUCCAAAUUGCAAGGCAUGGGAGUUACUUACCAAGUGAUCCAAUGACAAAAAAAAUCCUAAGAAGGAAAUAAAGAAGGACAUCAAGGCAAGUAAAUCCAAAGAGGCUAUGACAAUUUCUACUGUUCCUGUAAAGAUAGCCUUCCAGGGGUUGAGCUCGAACCCAAAAUCGAAGCCAAAGUUCGGACCUAACAAAGGACAAGUCCAAAGUAGAGGUCAUGUGACUCUAAAAGAACUUGAAGGAAAGGAGUAUCCAUUCUCAGAUUUUGAAGUUUUUGGAAUUCUAGAUCAGCUCCUUGAACAUAAGAUAAUCGAACUCCCAUACCAAAAAGACCCAAGGAAGCUGGUAAGAUCGAUAUCCUAAAUACUGUAAAUUUCACAUAAUUAUUAGCCACCCAGUGGAAAAAUACUUUGUCUUGAAAGAUCUUAUUAUUCGUCUGGACAAAGAAAAUAAGAUUAAACUUGAAAUCGGAGAAAACUCAACAGUCACCUACUCGAUGGUUCGUUCGGAUAAUUUGAUUCAAUUCCCAUUGCAGGGGAAGAAAUAAACAUUUUCUAAUGUACACGAUGCUUGUAAAUCCUCGACAAAGGAGUCUGGACCUCAAAUUCUAGAAGGAGCCAUCCCAAUGGAAUUUAAGGUAGACGGAGAAGUCACUAUCAAUUAUAUAUGUCCAAGGAUGGAUGGACCAAGCACACCCAAUCAUCCAACCUUUUAUGAAAUUAUGACAGAUGAAUUGGAUGUUUGGGAUUAUGAUUCAGAGUCCGAAGAUAAGAUCGGUGAUCGUUGGUCCACUUUCACAAACAAGAAAGAGAAAUAUCGAGUGCCAAACAAAAUAGUAAAAUAUUACCUUCUAAACCUCUUGUAGGAACAGAGCUAGAGGAAUUGGAUAUAAAAAUUCAACACAAUAAAGAAGAAAAACUAAAAGAAGAUUAGGGGGCAUGGACCCUUGUGAAAAGAUGUCAUUGAAAGGCUCCAUAACUCCCAAGUUUUAGUGUUUACGACAAGAAAUCAAGACCAAGGAACAACCAAAGAAGAAGGCCUAAAGCCAAAUCAAGAGAAUUCACUAAAUCGACGGAGGUAGAUGUUGCUUCACGCGUUCCUCCUAGACUCCCUACCUUGGGUGAUUAUUUUUCCAAUGGUUUCUUUGACAAGGAAUAUUUUACCUCCAAUGUCAUCAAUGUAAAAAAGAGAAAUGAGAAAAAAAUGCAUUUGGACAGAGUUCAAAUAGAAGAAAACUAUCUCAUGGCUCAAUAAUUCCUGGCAAUACGAGUCCAAUAAAGUCUCUUAGCCUUCCUUUCGAUGAUCGAAUGGCUUUAGUCGCAGCAUUAAUCGAUCAGGAAGAAUACGAAGGCAAAGUUUUAGAACAUAUUAGAUCCACAAUUCCUCAAGACUGUAUGGCCGUCAUAACAUUCGACAAUGGAGAUUUACAGCUGAGUUCUCUUCCACAUAAUAGACCACUGUAUGUCAGUAGUUAUAUUCGAGAAUGCAAGAUAAAUCGCAUAAUGUUCGAUUGUGGAUCUACUGUAAAUAUUGUGCCAGUCAAAAUAAUAAAGAAAAUUGGAAUUAAUAUUGGUAAUCUAUCCAGAAGCAAAAUCAUGAUUCAAGGAUUCAAUCAGAAAUGUCAACGAGCCAUUGGUAUGAUUCACUUGAAGCUACAAAUAGGAGAGUUAAUCUCUUCAAUUCUUUUCCACGUCAUUGAUGCCAAAAUAUCAUACGAGUUACUCCUUGGACGGGUUUGGCUACAUGAAACUGGAGUGGUACCUUUCAUUUGGCAUCAAUGCCUCAAAUAUAGCCAAGAUGGAGAAGUUAAAUGUGUGGUAGCCGAGGCUAAACCAUUCAUUGAAGAAGAAUCUCAUUUUGCUGAUGCCAAAUUUUAUAUAGAAGAUGAAGAGUGCAAUUCUAUAGGGUUGACCAUGUCUGGAUUCAAAAUCAAAGAAGAUGCAAAUGAUCAGAUACGUCUACUUCUACUCAAUCUCAUCAACUUAUAAAAGGCAAGUCAAAAUUUAUAUCCGAAAGAUUCUCUAAAGGAAAAAAACCUCAAAUAGAAUCAAUCGAUGUUGAGGUAUUUAGAAAAGAGUUGACUCUUCUAAUACCUAGUAUUCCAAAAUUGCUUCUGCCCCAUCAACUCAUGGCGGUCCCGAAAGAACAUAAAUCUACAUCGAAAGCUUCGACGUCUAUUCCAGACAUAUCAAAGUUUUGUAUUUCUAGCUCAUCCAAACACGAAGGAGCUAUUGAAUCAAAAUAGACUUUCAAAGGAUGUUAUAAUCCUCAUGUCAAAAAUUUAUUUGAAAAUGCGGGGUUUGGAAAAGGAGAGCCUCGAAAAUUAGGUGAUCUUGACACUGUCUUUUCAAGAGGGCAUGUCAGGUAUGGUUUGGGAUAUGAUCCCAAUCCAUCGAGAAAUAUUAAGGUCAAGAAGGUUUCCUUAAACCCCAUCAUGGUUCAAAUUUAUGAAGUUGCAGAAGAGAAAUCGGAACAGUCGAGACCUUCAGUGUUCGAUCGAAUUGAAAAUGAGAAUGCCAGAGUUUUGAUGUUUACAAAGUUGAAAGGAGAUCCCUCCCCAGUGGUUGACGUAAAAGGUAAAGUCUUUGUCUUCCAAAGAUCAAAUGAAGAUUAUUCUUCUUCUACCCAAAUUGAUAGGAAUGCACAAGCUUGCCAAAUGUCAUCACAAAGACAAUCUGCAUUUUCUCGACUUGGAAUUAAAACUUCUGAUCUAAGUCCAAAACCACAACGAUCAAGAAGAAGACGAAGACAUCAAAAAGUUCGUCUGUCUCUACGGGGUAAUGAAAAUAAGGAAGAAGUCUCUGUCAAUCACAUAGCCUUUGAAGAAGCUCCCGACUUAGACCCCAAGUUCAAAAGUUCUGUCGCAACUGAUGAACUUGAAGCAGCCCCACCUAUCUUUGAAGAAGGGAGACAAGCUAUUGUAGAUUACUUGAAGCAAUUGAACUUGGGGACCGAAGAAGACCCGAGACCAGUAUUUGUAAGUACCCUCCUCAGUCAAAAAGAGGAAUGAGUACAUUAAUUUGCUUCAAGAAUACAAAGAAGGGUUGUAGUGAUAAUUUCCAGCAAACACCAAGUUCAAACCAGGCUCAGUUUUACCUAUUUUAUCGACACCACCAAGGUUGAGACAACUCCAAAACCACCAUCAAGGCCGCCCCCACUUCUGGUUGCUAUAGGUUGGGAAGAUGAAGUCCAAUGAUAUGCCCACUAAGGAUUAACCACAAAGGUCACAGUGAAGUGAUGAAGAAACCGAUAGAUAAGUCUCACAAAGAGAAAUUAGGCAUAAUACUACAAUGGAGGCCGAGAGAGAGAUGAGAAUAUAAGCCAAGUAAAUAUCCAAAAAAGGUAAGUUAGGUUAGGGUUAAUUUGUGGAUAAGCUAAGUAAAUAUCCAAAAAAGGUAAGUUAGGUUAGGGUUAAUUUGUGGACCAAACAAGGCUCGACUCAAUACUAAUGGGCUUCAAAAUAAUAAUAUAGCCUUCCAAAGAAAGGGGCGAACCGUGAGCAACACUAUUAACAAUAGGUUGCUUCAAACGGUCCAUACGAAUGUGGAUUGUGUUGUCUCGAUAAUUGUAUCGAUAUACUAAUCAAUCAAAUGGUCAAGGCCGAUUGAUAAUAAAACCGAGGUUACAUCAUAGCCCGGGAGGUCGUUUGACAACAAAUUGCCUAACAACCUCCACCUUGGUGUCAAAGGACCUGCAAAAGAGAAUUGUCUCCCAUUUGUGACACCUCUAAUAGAAAACCAAUAAAAUUGGAAAUCAUUUACCUGUACCAAUAUUUAGAAGUUCCUUGCAACUUCUAAACUUUGACAGUGGCAGUACCUUCGUCCCCAUAUCAGAGGGAUUGUAGUGGGUGUGGACUUUCUCAAGUCUUACCAUCUCUUGAGAUACUAUAUCUCUAAUGAAGCGGAGUCUAACAUCAAUGUGUUUAGUACGCUCGUGAAAAAUGGGGUUCUUGCAUAAAUGUAUAGAUGACUGACUAUCAUAAUACACUACUACAUAAUCAUUCAAGACACAUAGUUCAUGAAGUAGACCUCUAAGCAAUAGAGCUUCUUUAAUAGUUUCAGUGGUAGCAAUAUAUUCUGAUUCUGUAGUGGAUAGUGCAACAAUAUGUUGUAACUGUGAUUUCCAAAUAACACAUGAAUUAGAUAAGGUAAACACGUAAGAUGAAGUAGAUUUUCUACCAUCCCUAUCUCUCGCGUAGUCUGCAUCUACAAAACCCUUUAAUUUUAUGCCUUCUUUAUUAGAACUAAACUCUAAACCUACAUUACUUGUACCCUUCAAGUACUUUAACAGCCACUUUAGCGCUUCCCAAUGUUUAGGGCCCGGAUUAUCCAUAGAUCUACCGAGAGUACUAACAGCAAAACCUAAAUCAGGUCUAGUGCAAACCAUCAAAUACAUUAUGGAACCAAUCACAUUAGAGUAAGGCACUCUACUCAUGUAUUCUACUUCAUGCUCAUUGCAAGGAGAUUGUUCCUUCGAUAAAACAAAAUGAUUAGCAAGAGGCAACGUGACAGGUUUGCAAUCACUCAUAUUAAAUUUUUUCAAUACUUUGGAUAUGUAUGGAGACUGAUGCAAAAACAAAACAUAAUUUGACCUAUCUCUUUCAAUUUCAAUACCUAAGAUUCUCUUAGCCACCACCUCGGUCAUAAUUUUGCUUUUAUGUUAUUUAUCCACUUAGAGGAUGAUCUAAUCAAAAGCAUGUCGUCUACAUAGAGCAACAAAAAUAGAUAAUUAUCAUCAGUCUCAUUAUGUUGAAAAUACAGACAGUGAUCAAAUUUACUUCUUUGGAACCCUAUAGUGAGUACAAAGGAAUCAAACCUCUUGUACCACUAUCUAGGAGAUUAUUUUAACUCAUACAAAGAUCUUCUCAGAAAACACACAUAAUCAGGUUUUGACUUAUCCUUAAAACCUUUUGGUUGAUUCAUGAAAAUUUGUUCAUCAAGCUCACCAUGUAAGAAAGUAGUUUUUACGUCAAGUUGUUCAAGUUCCUAGUCAAAAUGUGCAACCAAUGCGAGCAUGACCCUAAUAGUGGUGUACUUAACAACUGGUGAGAAAAUUUCACUAUAAUCAACACUCUCCUUCUGUGUGUAGCCUAUAGCCACUAACCUAGAUUUACACCUUCGGGGUUCCGAGUUGCUAGUUCCUUCCUUAACCUUAAAAACCCAUUUGCAAUCAACAAUUGAUUUGUUCUUAGGCCUAGGUAUUAGCUCCCAAGUAUGAUUCUUUUCUAGAGAACUCAUCUCUUCUUUCAUUGCCUUAAGCCAUUCAUUAGAUUGAUCACUGCCUAUUGCCUCUUCAAAGGUCUUUGGCUCUUUAUCAGCUAGUUCUUCAUAACUAGCCUGGGCGAAAGCUAAUUCAGAUUCAAAAUCAAACCUUCUUGGUUCUCUCGUCUGUCUCCUCUCUCUAUCCCUAACUAAGUUAUAGUUAGCUAAAGGAUUUUCUUCCUCAUCGUGCUCUUUUGUCACUAUUUCGUUACUAUUCUCCACCUUGGGUUCCUGAGUUUGAGUCUCCACCUCAUUUGAAGCAGUAGGGACAGGUGGACUGAGUUUUCCUAACUCCACCUUAAACUGGUCUCUUUCCUCACCUGAUUCAGCUUCACUCUCAGGUUCAGUUUCCCCUUUAAUACAUGGCAUCUCAUUUUCGUUAAACUUGACAUCUCUACUUAUGAUGAUUCUAACCCCUUUUUGGCUUCUAUCCCAUAACCUAUAAUCCUUAACACUCUCAGGGUAUCCUAAAAAGACACACUUCCUAACUCUAGGUUCCAGCUUACCCUCACUUUGAUGAGAAAAAGCUGUACAGCCAAAAGUUCUAAGUAUCGAGUAAUCACUCAUUUUACCCGACCAUCUCUCAUACGGAGUAUCACCACUCAAUGCAGCAGAAGGAGUCAGAUUAAUCAAAUAACAAGCGGUCAAAACAGCCUCAUCCCAAAAUGACUUGGGAACACCAGAACUAAUCAUCAUGCAACGUACUUUAUCAAGUAUGGUCCUAUUUAUCCUUUCUGCUACCCCAUUUUGCUGAGGGGUCUAAGGAACGGUCUUAUGUCUAGUUAUGCCGCUUUCUUUACACAUACUAUCAAAUUCUUUAUUGCAGAAUUCUAGACCGUUAUCUGUCCUUAAAAAUUUGAUUUUCUUGCCAGUUUGGUUUUCCACUUGUCUCUUCCAAUUGUUAAAAUUAUUAAAGGUCUCAGAUUUAUCCUUCAAAAGAUAGACCCACACUUUCCUCGUGUAGUCAUCGAUAUUAGAUAGGAAAUACCUAUUUCCACCCGAUGUGGGAUUAGUAGCAGGGCCCCAUAGAUCAGAGUGCACAUAUUCGAGCAUGCCUUUAGCUCUAUUAACACUCAUGGAGAAAGAGGUUUUAUGAUACUUACCAAGCACACAAUGAUCACAAAAUGGCAAAUCUGACACACAGUCUUUACCAAAAGCACCCUUUUCAUUAAGUAGCUUAAGUCCUUUGACCCCUACGUGAGCAAGUCUAUUAUGCCAUGUGUGUGUGUGAUCAAUCUUGGCAGAGUAGAUAGAGGAAUUCACACCUCUAAUCACUUCCCCAGUAGUAAUAUAUAUAUCAUUUUUCUUAAUUCUCUUAAUGGAAACUAAAGCACCCUUGAUCAUUUUUAGCAUACCAUUUCCAAUUUUACCAGUAAAGUCAUCCUUCUUAAGUCUCCCUACUGAAAUCAGAUUCCUAGACAACUCAGGAAUAUAUCUAACAUCCUUUAAUGUAUACACAAAACCUGUGUCAAAUUUUACGUUUAUGUCAUCAAUUCCAGCAAUAGUAUAGGCAAAGUUAUCACACAGUACAACGUGCCCAACAUUAAAUUCAUGCAACUUAUAAAACCAAUUCUUUUCAGACGUCACAUGAAAAGAUGUACCAGAGUCAAGUAUCCACUCAUGCAUGCGGGAAUUAGCAGUUAGAUUUAAUUCAGCAGUGUAUGCAACUGGACUUGUAAUCAUAUAGACCUCACCACCAUUUAUAUCAAAAGUAGAUGCUAACACAUUUACCUCAUCUCUCUCCUUAACCUUUAGCUUACCCUUCUUCUUACGACAAUCUUUUAUAAAAUGCCCUGUGUUUCCACAACCAUAGCAUUUUCUCGCCUCAAUCCUAGAUUUUACCUUUGCUCUCCUUUUUCCAUCCAUUACCACUUGACUCGCCACUAGUUUGAUAUCCCUCAUGACUAUUUUGCCUAAAUUGAGUUCUACCCCGCAUCAUAUGUAACUCACCAUUCCUCUUAUCAUGUUUUUCAGCUCUAAUUUCCAUUUCUUUACUUCUAAGGGAAUCUAUGACAAUUUCAGGUGUUAACGUGUCUCUACAAUACUUAAUGGCGUUCUUAACUUCCUUAUAGGAAUCAGGAAUUGCAUUGAGCAAAAUUAUAGCCUUAUAAGUUUCGGACACAGUCUCAUCACAAUUAACUAUAUCUUGCACCAAUUUGUUAAACACGUCUAGAUUGUCAUCAAGAUCCUUUGAAGGAUCCAUUUUGAAACUGAAAAAACGUUCAAACAGGUAAAGUUUAUUCGGUGUAGACUUAAGCAAAUACAAGUCUUCUAAUUUCUUCCAAAGUUCUUUAGUGGUUUUCAGUUUACCCACCUUUCUUAAAAUGGCGUCAGAUAAGCGUAAAAUAAUUGAAGUAUAAGCAAGCUCGUCGGCUUCUUCUCUUUAUUCUUGUGAAAAAUCAGUUGAAAAAUUAUCUUCAAUGGCUUCUGAAACCUUUUGUUGGACUAAAAUACCCUUCAUUUUUUGUUGCCAAAUAGCAAAGUCACCCUUUCCAUUAAAAAUUCCCAAAUCAAAACUGUGAGUUGUCAUCUUUACACGACAGUCAAAAAAUGCACAAACCACAACCAAACCACACAAAGUAGUCCUAAGGUCACAGACAGUAUACACCGUUCUAGAUUCUCAGGGUUUCGUAAGACUCGCGGUCUUAGAUCAAGGGAAUGUUCGAACGGGUAAGGUCACGGUAUUUCUAACGGAAUAAGUAAGUAGCAGAAAUAAUAAUGCAGCAAAAAAUACAUCUAGCAAAUAACUAGUCCCACAGUAAUUAGAUCACUAAGAAUUACAAAACUGAUUUCAACCCAAAACAAAUACUCAAUCCAAAAAUCAAUCAAGAGCACGUAACUCUAAUUCUAGCAAAAGCAAUGGUUGCCAAGUAAUGACAACCCCCAACCUAUUGUCAACCCACACGGUGAUGCGCUAAUGCUGAAAAAUUAAUGGGUUAAGCCAAUUUACCAGAGCGGACUGUCUGAGUCCGUAUAAUCGAGAGAGAUGCGAAUCUACUGCUUUAGGGCCGCAAUCUUGGCCUAAAGUAAUUCAGUAGAUAUAUGCAGUUUCAACCGUCAAUCCAACAGGGCAAAAUUGUCCAACUUUUUCUGUGUAAUCGGAAAUAGAAAAUAAAUAGUGUCAGUGCGUUCAGGGAAUUGAAAUGAGCAAACUGCCCGAAGGAAGUUCGCUCGGAAUCGUCGCCACGCGCCGUCGCUGGAGGUCGCUGCCGCCGCCAUGCGUCGCACUGGGAGGGGCGCCUUGGCUUGCUAGUAUCGGGUAUGGGAUUGGUUUCAUCGGAAAGUUACUGGUUUGGCCGAAAAAUGAGAUUGCAGGUUCGGUUUCCUAUAGAAAUCACGCAUACCACCGUCGAUUUUGGUGGUUUUCUGGCCAGAGAAGGUGACUCCGGCUCUGAUACCAGUUUUAGAGAUAAUUUCCAGCAAACACCAAGUUCAAACCUGGCUCAGUUUCACCUAUUUCAUCGACACCACCAAGGUUGAGACAACUCCAAAACCACCACCAAGGCCGCCCCCACUUCCGGUUGCUAUAGGUUGGGAAGAUGAAGUCCAAUGAUAUGCCCACUAAGGAUUAACCACAAAGGUCACAGUGAAGUGAUGAAGAAACCGAGAGAUAAGUCUCACAAAGACAAAUUGGGCAUAAUACUACAAUGGAGGCCGAGAGAGAGACGGGAAUAUAAGCCAAGUAAAUAUCCAAAAAAGGUAAGUUAGGUUAGGGUUAAUUUGUGGACCAAACAAGGCUCGACUCAAUAUUAAUGGGCUUCAAAAUAAUAAUAUAGCCUUCCAAAGAAAUGGCAACACUAUUAACAAUAGGUUGCUUCGAACGGUCCAUACAAAUGUGGAUUGUGUUGUCUCGAUAAUUGUGUUGAUACACUAAUCAAUCACAUGGGCAAGGCCGAUUGAUAAUAAAACCGAGGUUACAUCAUAGCCCGGGAAGGUCAUUUGAUAACAAAUUGCCUAACAAGGGUUUGUAUGGUCUUACAAAGAAAUGCUAGGAUAAGAUCCUAAGGUUGUAAUGCAUCAUCUUGUAGUAAGACAUGGAGUUCGACCAAUCAAACAACCUCAAAGAAGAUUUUGACCAAAACUAGUCCCUCAAAUUGAAGUGGAAGUCAACAAACUUAUCGAAGCUAGAUUCAUACGCGAAGCGAAAUACACAACGUGGAUCGUGAACAUUGUUUCUGUCAAAAUGAAGAAUGGGCAAUUAUGAAUUUACGUUGACUUUCGGGAUGUGAAUCAAGCAUUUCUGAAAGAUGAUUUUCCACUUUUGAUAAUAGAGUUGAUGGUGGAUACAACUACUAGGUAUGAAGUCUUAUCUUUUAUGGACAGAUUUUUUGGAUACAACUAGAUACGAAUGAACCCAAAAGACGAAGAGCUUACAUUAUUUCGUAUCCCUAAAGGCAUAAAUUGUUACAAAGUUACGCCUUUUAGAUUAAAAAAUACGGGGGCAAUCCAAAAGAUUUUAGAUGACAUGUUGCAUAAGAUCGUAGAAUGCUAUGUGGACAAUCUUGUUAUUAAAACAAAAAAACGUGACGAUCAUUUACAAGAUUUACGGGAUGUUUUUGAAAGACUUUGAAGACAUCAACUGAAGAUGAACCCGUUGAAAUGUGCAUUUGGUGUGACGCCCCGAACUUAAGCUUCGAGGGUCACGUACUAAACAUAAAAACUUCAGUCUUUGGUACAUGUAAAUACUCUUAAAUAGAAUAUUACAUGUUAGAAAACUUAUUUUCAAUUUGGUAAAACCAUUCUUAUAAAAUUUGAUGGCCGGUAACAGUGCAUGUCAACCUGAAAUUAUACUUUAUAUAUAUAGCCUCGGCACUAUAAAGGUUAGUUGGGCAGCAAGUUUGACAAUUUUUAUAAAAUUCACCCCAACUCCGUUUUACAUGAAAUUUGUGGCAUUAGAAAGAUAAUUUCAAGUAGUUUUCUAGGUUAAAAUAUGAAAAAUUUUCCAAGAUCAUAUGAUAUAGAUGUUUUACUGAAAACAGUGAAGUAUUACACAGAAAAUCCAGAUUGACCUCUCGACGUUUAAAACUUGAUAUCUACGGCCAUAGGUAUCCAAAUUGAGUGAUUCCUGUGUCCAUGUUUAGAAAACUCAAAGAGGAAAAUAGAAAUAUUUUUAGAGUCUCAAAUGGACGUUUAUAGAGUUAGAAACAUUAUUUUGAAAUUGACUCCAGAAACUGUCCCGUUUCUGCCUUUUGUCUCUUGUAAAGGAAAUAAACUACAAAAAUGUCUCUUAACAUAACAUGAAGGAUAUAAUUACAAAAUUUACUAUUAAUACCAUAAUACAUCAUGUCAUGUACAUAUUUGUACAUAAUACCAUAAGAAAACAGAUGGGAAACAGUCAUCGAACAAAACAUACAAAAGAAAACUUUCGGUACAAAACAUCUUUGUCCUUAAUCCAUCAUCGAUUUUGCCAACUAACUUCCAUCAAUACAGCGAUCAUGGAUUUGAAAAUUUAGCAUAACAUACUAUGAGUAUAAGAAAUACUCAGUAAGAUACCAUGCUUGGAUUUUUAUCAUGAUAAUACUACACAAAAGAAUGCAAUCAAACCCAUACUUGCACAUUCCGGCUUACCGGUGCCCUUCGGACUUGUCCUAAGGCAUAAAUAGAUAUCUAACUUUGUGGACUUGUCCACCAUAAUCAUAUUAUGGUUUUUCAUGCAUAGUUUAAGUAUAAAUAUUACCAUGAAGAUCAUACCCCUUAAGCAUAGAAAGUAUCUUACCGUAAAACUUGAAGAUCUUCGAUUGAAAUGAAUUGAAAGUGCUAGGCUUACUUCCUUCUCCUUUCCUUUCUUAUUUUCGGUUUUGCUCUCUAUUUAAGUGUAUAAAUGUUUUGCAAAGUGAAGUAAUUUUCUCUAUGGAAAUGGAUAUGGAUGUGUGUGUAUAUAUAUAUAUAUAUAUAAGGAUAAGGAUAAAUUAUUGAUAUUUUUCCUCUUUUUUUUCAUCCCCAUCGCCUCACCUCUUUUCUUUCCAUUUUUUUUUUACUUCUACACAUAUUUAGUCUAUUGUCUAAGUGUAUGGUGAUGAUAAAUGCCAAGUGGGUUGAUUAUAGGGUAAUAAGUGGCCACAAAACCUAGAUUUACAAAGGAAGUCUCUCAUCUUUUCAACUCAUAUAAUCUAACCCCUCUAACUUUCAUUAUUAGCAAAGCAUAUCCCAAAUUUAAACUUGUAUCCAACUUACAUAUUCAAAAAUUGUAGGUUGUAAAAUAAUUUAAUCGUUUGGUCAAUUGAAGUCCUAACAAAAUAAUCCACUUCAUUCAAAUUCAAACUUGACUUAAGUUUCGACUAACUAAUAAUCACUUCAUGUAUACACAACAUUUAGCACUUCAUGCUUGCAUUCAUUAGCUACCUCUAGCAUUAACCACUACAAAGGUGGUGUCCCCUUUUCCUUAUAUCCAAAAAGAAUAUUGAAAGUUAAAUCACUAUCCUGCGGAAAUUUAAACGAGCAUAAAAUUUCGGAGUAUUACAUUUGGCGUCACCUCUGAAAAAUUUCUCGGCUUCAUUGUUUGACAUCGGGUCAUUGAAAUAGAUCAAACAAAAAUUGAUGCCAUAAUCAAUAUGCUAGAGCCAAGAAAUGUACAUGAGUUGAAAAGUCUUCAAAGAAAACUUGCAUACAUUCAAAAAAAUCUCUCACCUUGCCGGACGCUGUUAUCUAUUCAACAAAUUGGUGAAGAAAGAUGUACCAUUCAAGUGGGACGAUGCUUGUCGAAAUGCUUUUCAAAGCAUUAAACAAUAUUUAUCUCGUCCACCGGUACUCACAGCUCCAGUACCAGGGAAGUCACUGACUCUUUAUGUUUCAGCAUAAGAAUAUUUUCUAAGAGCACUUCUUGUCCAAGUCAACGAUGAAGGAAAAGAGAAUACACUCUAUUACUUGAGCCGGACAUUGGUAGGCGCUGAAAUGAAGUAUUCACCUAUUGAAAAAAUAUGCCUUGCGUUAAUCUUCAUAGCUAAAAAGUUGAGACAUUAUAUGCUAUCACACACAAUCAAUCUUGUUUCGAAGAUUGACCCAUUGAAAUACAUAAUGUCCAGGCCAAUUCUUUCUGGAAGGAUUGGAAAAUGGGCACUGUCGUUGUCUGAGUUCGAUAUCAAAUUCAUUCCACAAAAGCUCAUUAAAGGACAAGCUUUGGCAGAUUUUUUGCCUGACCACCCAAUUCCAGCGGAAUGAAAACUUCAAGAAGACUUUCCCGAUGAAGAAGUUCUAUUCAUCGAAGUCAUACCAUCUUGGAGGCUAUACUUCGACGUGGCAGCCCGAAGUUAUGGUACCGGAGCAGGAGUAGUCUUUGUCACUCCGCAUGAUCUCAUCAUGCCCUACUCUUUUACCUUAACAGAGAAAUGUUCAAAUAAUGUAGUAGAAUAUCAAGCCCUUAUCCUUGGUUUAGAGACAACAUUAGAUAUAGAUAUCCACCAGCUGGAAGUCUUUGGAGAUUCUAAAUUGAUAAUCAACUAACUUUUAGCUGAAUAUGAAGUCCGUAAUUUAGACCUGAAGCCAUAUCAUGAAUAUCCAUCAAUGCUUACGAGAUGAUUUGAUUCGGUAAAAAUCAAAUUCGUCCCAAAAAGUGAAAAUAGGGAAGCUAAUACCUUACCUAAUUUGGCCGCUGUUUUAGCUCGAUCAAAUGAAGAUUUCUCUCACUCCAUAUCAAUUGCUCAAAGAUGGGUGUUUCCGUCGUUGCUACCCAGUAAUUUGGAAGAAAAUAAUAGUGUUGAAGUAGUCGAAGAUUAGGAAAGAGAAGAUUGAACACAAUCGAUAAUUGAUUUUCUUCAACAUCAAAAGCUACCAGAUAAUCUACGGUGAAAAAAUGAAAACAAAAGUCGUGCCUCUCGCUUUAUCUUUUAUAAGUGAACACUUUAUAGAAAAUUAUUUGAUGGAGUUUUCCUUCGAUGCCUAAGUAAUGAUGAAGCAACAUAGGUCAUGGAAGAAGCUUACUCUGGAAUUUGUGGUGCCCUCUGGUCUGGACCCAAACUCCAUUUUCGAAUACGGAAGAUGGGGUAUUACUGGCCAACUAUGGUACAAGAUCCAUGGAUUAUGCUAGAAAAUGUGAAAUUUGCCAGGUCCAUGCGAAUUUCAUCCGUCAACCUCCGGAACCAUUACAUCGAACAGUAGCUUCAUGGUCGUUUGAUGCGUGGGGUCUUGAUGUAAUUGGACUUAUAACUCCAAAGUCUUCAGCAAGGCAUGCAUACAUCCUCACCGAGACUGUCUACUUAUCUAAAUAGGCCGAAGCUGUACCAUUGAGAGAAGUAAAGAAAUAAAAUGCCACAGAUUUCAUUCGUAUCCAAAUUAUUUAUCGAUAUGGUAUCCCGCGACACAUCAUAACUGAUAAUAGCAAGCCAUUCUGCAAUAGCCACAUAAACAAUUUAUAUACAAAGUUUGGGUUCAAACACUACAACUCAUCCAUGUACAAUGCGACAACUAAUGGAUUGACAGAUGCGUUCAACAAAAUACUAUGCAGUGUCACGCGAAUUCAUAACCCGGUGAUAUUUUAUCAUCAAGAAUUCCUUUAUUCCUAUAUUAUCUCCAUGUUAGGCUAGAUAUUCUUGUACUAGAAGAUCGAUGAACUAUGUAAUGUGAUCUUUGGAUUUUAACUUUUGCAAUUUGACAAUUAAGCACAUAUUUGAUUAUUUGAAUGGUUUAUAUGCAUUAAUUUCUUCCAUAAUUAAGUGCAUGUGAUUAUGUGAUGUAUAGUGAUUUAUUUCUUGCAUUCGAGAGAAAGGAAAUAAAUUUGACAUGGUAUAAAUCAUCGUAGGAUCUGAUAAGGGAUAAAGAUAUACCUCUGUGCUUUGCGUGAAUCGUUAAUUGCUCAUAAAACCACAUGCAUUCUUAUAUAUAUGCAUCCGUCAUAGAGAUAUAGACUGGUGGAAUAUAAGAAUAGGCUCAAUAUAGCUUGAGAGAGUGUGUUGGAUAGAUUUAGGAGCAUUAAUUCUUCAAUAAUCCAAUCGCGUUGUCAUACUUGAAAUUAGGGUUUUAGGUUAUCAUUACAUAGGAAUUUGUGAUCCUAGUGUGUUUAAACUUCAUUAAGUAAAAUAAACUUGCGUUCCAACCAUCUUAUUGCAUUUAGAUUCAAUUAGAUACAUCAUUUUCCCUUUUUUAAUUCAUUCAAUGAUCAUUUUAGUUAAAUUAGGGUUUUCCAUAAUUAAGGUUUUGAUAAAUUAGGGUUUUCUUAGGGUAAAACUUAAAUUUUGAUAAAUUCGUUUCGAUUAAGGCGAAGGUAGAUAAAGUUAAACUACUUAAUCUCUGUGGGACGAUAUUCAGAACUCUAAAUUCCACUUCAUUACUUGUUAACGAACCAUAUACUUAUGAUAGUUUUAAAUCGAAAUAAAUAAUUUAGUCCCAAAUAUGUAAACAACCUCUACAAAAAGUGUCUUGGACAGUCGAAGGAGUUAAUCGUUGGUCCUCAACACAAAGUGUCUUGGACAGUUGAAUGAACAAAUUUGCAUGUUAACGUCUAGUGAAGGAGACUUGAUCCUAGUUGAUCCAAAAAUCGAACGAACUUUACAUCGAAUGCAGCGAGAAAAUAGAGAGGUAAAACAACAAAUGGCUAAUAUACAGAACAAUCCAAUGAAAAAAGGGGUAGCGGAUGAAGUAAAUAUGCUUGUAGGAGACUUCAUGACCUCAGAUAAUUCACAGCCAGUUGAGCAUUGUGUAUCUACCGUCUGGAUAGCCGAAUUUUCAGUUGAAAACCAACGUGAUACAACUAUUUCAAAAUGGACAUCAAUUCUAUGGAAGAACUAAAGAGAACCCACCUAUGCACGUCUCUAGCUUUUUGGAGAUGUGCUAACAAUUUAGAUAUCAAGGAAUCUCAGACGAUGUAAUCAGAGUAAGGUUGUUCCCAUAUACACUAUGUGACAAGGCAAUCGAAUGGCUAGAUUCGUAACCAAUCGCAAGCAUUACUACAUGGAAUGAUCAAGCUCAAAAAUUCUGCACUAAGUUCUUCGUGCCCGCUAAGAUUGCAAAGCUUAAGCAUGACAUAUCUGUCUUUCGUCAAGGUGACUUAGAGAACUUUGAUGAAGCCUGGAAUAGGUUUAAGAAUAUGCUACGAAAGUCUCAACAUGAUGGGAUUAGUAAGGGACUCUAGGUCCAAUACAUUAAUGCAUAAUUGCUUCCAACCUUUAAGAGCAUGGCCGACUCGUCACAUUGUCCACAGAGACAAUUGAUGAGGCACUGAAACUUUUUGAGACUAUAGCUACUACAUCAGCUAUAUAGACAUUGGAGCAGCAGUUCAGAAGAAGACACGGGGAGUUUAUGAAGUGGACAUGUAUUCUGCCCUAUCUGCUAAGAUUGACUAAUUAUUUCACAAGGUGGAAACAUGUCACAAUCAGCUAACGCAACAUAGUCAAAGAAGGGCAAUUGUGAGGAAUGUUUAGCUGAACAUGUAGCAGCAUAGUGUCCAAUCCUUAUACAAGGAAUAGAGCAAGCAGAUUUUGCUCAAUGGGGACUCGUCAGCAGAACAAUACAUUUGGGAAAACAUACAAUUUGAGUUGGAAAAAGCACCUAAAUUUCUCUUGGAGCAACCAAAACCAGAAUAGGCCAUAGGGUCAGUAUCAACAGCCAGAGAAAAAGCCUUAAUUGGAAGAGAUGUUCGAUAAAUUUAUAGAGAAGACCAACCAAUACAUGGAGGCUAAUAAUCAAUUCAUGAUGAAAACUGAGACCAGUCUUCAAGACCAGAAUACAGCCAUAAAAAAUCUAGAGACUCAAAUGUGACAGAUGGUAAUUGCCUUGACUGGCGGAGCACCAUGCAGUUUGCAAGUAACAUGAAAAUAAACUCGAAAAAACAUGCUAAGGCAAUUACAACUCAAAGUGGAAAGAAGCUACCUAAAAUACAUGUAAAAAGGCUGGGUGUAAAUUGAGAAACAAAAUCUCCUGAGUAUAACGAGCAAAUAGAUAAAUCUAUCCCAGCUAAAGAACUAAGAAAAUCGUAAGAUAAAGCAACUGUCAACCUUUAUGAGCCUCCCAUACCUUUUCCACAGAGGCUAAAGAAGUAGAAGUUAGAGCAGCAAUACAAGAAAUUUCUAGAAGUCUUCAAGAAGCUUUACAUCAAUAUCCCUCUCAUCGAUGCACUAUUCCAGAUGCCUAGCAAUGCAAAGUUCAUGGAAGACAUACUAUCAAAUAAAUGCAAGCUAGGAAAUCAUGAGAUAGUAAUGCUAAUAGAUGAGUACAGUACCAGAAUUCAGAAAAAGCUCCCACCGAAAUUGAAAGAUCCAGAGAGUUUUACUGUUCUUUGCACUAUUGGUGAAGUUUAUUUUGAUAAAGCUUUAUGUGAUCUUGGUGCAAGUAUUAAUUUAAUGCCUUUAUCUAUUUUUAGGAAACUUGGCUUGGGAGAGGCUAAGGUAACUACAAUGACACUGUAGCUAGCUGAUCAGUCAUUGACACAUCCCAGGAAAAUAAUUGAGGAUGUGCUUGUCAAUGUUGGGAAAUUCAUAUUCCCUGCGGAUUUCCUAAUUUUGGACAUGGAAGAGGACAAGGACAUCCCGCUGAUACUUGGCAAACCGUUCUUGGCAAUAGGGAGAGCUUUGAUCGAUGUUCAGAAUGGGCAGUUGAUUUUGAGACUGGGAGAAGAGCAGGUCUCUUUUAAUGUCUUCAAGACUAUGAAAUUAUCUAUAGAGUCAGAUAGUUGCUUCCAGAUAGACGUGAUCGACAAUGUGGUUUAAGACUUAUUUUUGCUAUAUAAACCAUUAGAUGCCUAUGAAGCUUGCAUUGCACACUCUCAGUUAACACAAUCUAAUUCAGUGGAGAUAGAAUCAUGUGCAAGGUUUUUGGAUGCUAACCCACCGUAUACACGUAGAAGGCAUUUUGAGAAGUUUGGGACAGGAUCCACGAAAUCGCUACCAUCCAUUCAGCAGCCACUGAAAUUAGAACUCAAGCAGCUACCACCACAUCUUAGAUAUGCAUAUUUGGGGAGUCUUGUACACUACCAGUCAUCAUUUCAAACACAGUUAAUGAAGUGGAAGAGGAGAAACUGCUUAGGAUACUACGGGAAAAUAAAACAACAAUGGGAUGGACUAUGGUAGAUAUAAAAGGGAUCAGCCCUUCACUAUGCAUGCAUAAGAUUCUCAUGGAGGAGAAUUUCCGGCCAACCACAGAGAGUCAAAGGAGGUUGAACCCAAAUAUGAAGGAAGUGGUCAGAGCAGAGGUACUCAAACUUCUAGAUACUAGAAUCAUAUAUCCAGUAUCGGACAGUACAUGGACUAGCCUAGUUCAGGUAGUACCAAAGAAAGAUGGAAUCACAGUAGUGCCUAACAAGAAGAAUGAACUGAUACAGACUAGAAAAGUGACGGGAUGAAAGGUUUGCAUCGAUUAUCACAAACUCAACACAGCUACAAGAAAAGAUCACUUUCUCCUUCCGUUUAUUGAUCAGAUGCUGUAGAGAUUCACAAGCAACUCACAUUACUAUUUUCUCGACAGGUAUUCAGGUUACAAUCAGAUACCAGUGGCACCAGAUGACCAUGAGAAAACAACAUCCACUUGUCCCUAUGGUACUUUUGCAUAUCGCUAGAUGCCUUUCAGCCUUUGCAAUGCUCCUGCCACAUUUCAAUGAUGUAUGAUGGCUAUUUUCUUAGACAUUGUAAAGAAGUUUAUAAAGAUAUUCAUGGAUGAUUUCUCGGUCUUUAGGUCUUCGUUUGACGAGUGUUUGGAACAUUUGAAUCCAGUAUUACAAAGAUGUAGGGAAACUAAUUUGGUAUUGAACUGGGAAAAAUGUCACUUCAUGGUGCGGAAAGGGAUUGUACUUGGGCAUCGGGUCUCAGCAAAAGGAAUUGAGGUGGACAAAGCAAAAAUUCAUGUUAUUGAGAAGCUACUGCCACCAACAUCAGUUAAAGGAGUUCACAGUUUCUUGGGAUGUGCCAGGCUUUACAGGAGAUUUAUUAAGGAUUUCUCAAAAAUUACUAAGCCUCUAUGCAACCUAUCGAUGAAAAACGUGUCAUCUGAAUUUAAUGAAGCAUGUGAUUUAAUAUGCAAUCAGAACAUUAAAUGAUGCCCAGAUCAACUACACAACCACUGAAAAGGAGCUCUUGGCAGCGGUUAUGCCUUUGACAAAUUCAUAUCAUAUCUCAUGGGGUCUAAGGUCAUAGUCUACAUAGAUCACACCGCAUUAAAAUAUCUUAUGACAAAGAAAGAUGCUAAGCCGAGAUUAAUCCAUUGGAUGUUACUUCUACAAGAAUUCGAGAUUGAAAUCAGGGACAAAAAGGGCAGUGAAAAUGUGGUGCCAGAUCACCUAUCUCGAUUGGAGCCGGGAAAGACAGAUGAAUCAGUGGAUAUCAAUGAGAUUUUUGAGUGUAGAAGAAACGCCUUGGUAUGCAGAUAUUGUUAAAUACCUGGCUAAGUCCAUCCCAUCGCCUGAUUACUCAAGUCACCAAAGAAAAAAAUUCUUUGCCGAAUUGAAGUACUUUUUUGGGAUGAUCCCAUUUUCUAUAGGCGAGGGGCCAAUCAAAUUGUGAGAAGGAGCAUACCUGAAGAUGAAGUACCCAAGAUUCUUGAGUAUUGUCAUUCAUCUACAUGUACGGGACACUUUUGAGCUUCGAAAAUUGCCGCAAAGAUUUUACAGUCGAUGUUUUAUUGGCCUACAUUGUUCAGAGACGCCUUUGAGUUUGUCAAGAGGUGUGAUAGAUGUCAACGCACUGGGAAUAUCUCAAGAAAGAGUGAAAUGCCACUUAACAACAUAUUGGAAGUUGAGAUAUUUGACGUCUGGGAAAUCGACUUUAUGAGACCGUUUUCCCGUCGUUUUCAAAAUAGUACAUCUUGGUGGCAGUUGACUAUGUAUCUAAAUGGGUGGAAGCAAUUGCAUUGUCAACAAACGAUGCAAAGCUGGUAAUUGGGUUCUUGAAUAAAUUCAUCAAUCAGUGACGAGGGAAAACACUUCUGCAAUCCCCAAUUUGAGAAAUUUUUGAGUAAAUAUAGGAUUAAACACCAUGUAGCAACCUCAUAUCAUCCAUAGACCAGUGGGCAAGUUGAAAUGUCUAAUCAGCAGUUGAAGAGAAUACUUGAGGUUACAAUGAAUUCUUCCCGAAAGGACUAGUAUAAAAUGUUGGACGAUGCAUUGUGGGCAUAUAGGAUAGCAUUCAAGACAAUGAUAGGCAUGUCUCCAUACUGCCUAGUUUUUGGGCAAGUGUGCCACCUCCCAUUAGAAAUAGAACACUGUGCAUACUAGACAUUGAAACACUUAAACAUGGAUUUGAAGGCCACCGGUGAAAAGCGUUUACUGCAGCUAAAUGAGUUAGAUGAAUUCAUGAUGGAAGCAUAUGAAAACUUGAAGCUUUACAAAGAACACACUAAAAAGUGGCACGACCUACUCAUUUAGAGGUUGGAGUAGAAAGUUUUGCUGUAUAACUCGAGACUCAAACUCUUCCCAGGAAAAUUAAGAUCAAGGUGGUCGGGUCCUUACACUGUUAAAAAAUUUCUGUCAUAUGGAGCCAUAUAAGUCAGCCACAAAACAAAAGGUACAUUCACUGUAAAUAGGCAAAGGUUGAAAUGACUUCUCCAACCAACAGUCGACCGUUCAACUCAGGACACUUACUUCAAGCAGAAGUAGGAAAGUCGAGCUAUCGAUUAUAACAUAGCGCUGGGUGGGAGGCAACACAUUGUAUCCUUUUGAUUUAUUUUAUUUUUCUGCAUUAACUUAUGAAUUUUUCAAUUUCAUAUUUGCAUUUUUUAUAGUUAGGUCAUCGAUCAUCCAUGCAUUUUAAAAGAGUCUAAGAACUAUCCACACGAGUCCGUAUGCAUUGAGCACAAGUCAAGAAUGAUUGAAGUUGUUUUGGUUAAUUGGGUAUGGCAUUCAUGCAUUUUGAGGCACACAGUCAUUUUUCAUAAUAUUUUCAAGAGUGUGGUUUGAAUACAAUUCAAAAAAAAAAAAUUUGGUUUUGGUACUAAGUCCAUUGGUGUGCACAUACCCCAAGUGGGUUAAAAUAUUUUCAAAAUUUUUUGGGUAUGUGAGAAGCCAGUCAAUUCAUCGAUCGAAAACCAUGUUUUGGGAGGUAUUAGAUAAAAGUCAUGUUUUUAGAGUCAAAGGUAUUCUCAAAAUUUCUUAGAUGCAUAUUCAUUAAAAAAAUGUGUGCGACAGGUAGUCUAUGUAACUGUAUAGGCAUACCUGCCUUGCGGUCGCAUGGCAGGAAGCAGGGCCUAAAAUGGCCCUACUAUUUUGCUCUAUGUGAUUGCAAGCAUAAGCUCUAUGCGAUUACAUAGAGCAAUCAAUAAAAAAAAUUUCAUUAAGUCUUUAAAAACACGACACAGACCCACAUCUCUCCCAAACUCUCAAAACACGAGAACACCACAAAAAUCACACGCAUAUCCUCACAGCUCUCUCUCUCUCUCUCGCGGCCAACACCCACACAAAACACAAUAUAUUGCACAAAUCUUUGUUGUAUCAAACAUUGGAGCGAGUAGAGAUUUCCAAUCUUCCAAUUUUUCACAAAAUUUCUAGGUAAGUGCCUUACACCCUACAUUACAAAUUUUGAAUUUGGGGAUUUGGUUUGUCUUAAUUUUCAGUAACUAUUGAAGAUUGAGUGUUGUGUUAUGUUUGUGAUUAAUAUGUGAAUUUGGGAGCUACAUGAUAACGCAUCAAUUGCCAAAGUUAGGAAAAUUUCAUCAUGCACACAAGAUGUUCGAUGAAUUGCCUAAGUAAAGGGUUUUAUGCAAUUGUGUAAACUUUGCUUUUGUUAUGCAUUAAAAUUGAUGUGAGUAGUAUUUGGGUGAUGAGAUAUCACUAGAAAGGCUUGGAAAACACAAAACCCCAAAUUACAUACACGUAGGCACGACAUUGUUAGGUCAGACACCCUAUGUCACCCACUUGACCCUUCAUUAGCUAACCAAACGACCUCCAAUCAACUUGAAAUUUGAAUAGUGCUAGACUACAUUGAAUACUUCCAUAUACCUAUAGGUUUCCCAGGAAAAUUUCGAUAUUUCUUGGUAGUGCUCAAGGGUGAAAGUCCUCACUCGAUCAUGGGUCAAAAUUUCUUAAAGUGCAUAUUUGUGCUUAAUUUUGUUAGUUUUUCUUAUUGGCACAAUAUUUCUACUAUCUUGAACCUCAAUUGUUGAAUAUUACAUGCCAAUAUGUUAAACAUGCAUCAUGAAGUAAGUUUGGGGGAUUCGUGCGUCACAGUCGACUUUCUUGUUUUUCUUCAUGCCUAUUUCAUUACAGUAGUUGGUUUUGAUAUUAAAAAUUUUCCUCUUGCAGGAUGCCGUCAAAAAGAACUUCGAAAGGAAAGGAAAAAGCUGGAACAUCAUCUUGGAAGCACGUACUAGAGAGCUGGAAGGGGGCAUACAAAGAUUCAUGAACCCCGAAACAACAGCCCGAUAUUCCAAUGUUGUAAAUCAAUGGGCACUAAUCCCAGAGCGGCGAGUAAAAUUGGAUGAUUUCCCUGGCUUUGAAUUAGCCACUUUGGUUGAGCAAUGUGGAUGGGAGAAAAUAGUGGAGCAACCACACCCUGUAUAUGAAAAUUUGGUUGGAGAGUUCUAUGCGAAAUUCAAUGCUAAUAUUGAUACACCGGGCUCCGAUCAUUUACACCAGGCAUGGGUUAGGGGACAGUGGAUCAUGUUCUCACCAGAGGUUAUCCAUGACUAUUAUCAGCUCACGUGGAACAACAUAACCCCCAUCUCGGGCAAAUUUAACUGGAAAGAAGUGCAGAGGUCUUACUGGGGUGAGAGAAUGCUUGGCCACUCCCAACCACUGAAUGACACCAAAUUGAGCUGACACCAUCUACAUCUAUCCUUGGUUGUUUAUGUACCACAAUAUCGAGCCGACGUCUCAUAAAACAACAUUUAUAGAUCCCAUGGCCGGUUUCAUAUAUAACUUGGUCUGAGAAAAUAAGAUCGAUCUUGCUACACUCUGCUAUGACCAAAUACAUAAUUUGGGUACUUGGGAAGAUAGGCACAGUUCUUUGAUUUUCCUAGCCUCAUCAAUGGAAUAUGCAAGGUAGCAGGUGUCACUAUCCCAGCAGAGGAAGCGCCUGCUAAACCUAGUCCUCCUAUAAAGCACACUACACUGGAGGCUCAAGAUAGAUUCAGGAUAAAGCAUAGGGAGACGAAAGAAAAUGAGCUGCGCAGGUAGCAACAGGAUGUGGUAAGACAAGCUGCUACAGAUGAUGACAUGCUACAAGCUCCUCUACCACCGAUGGGAGUUGAUACACAGUUAUUACAUAAGACAUUUACGACUCUUAAGGGGACCAGUUGCGAUAUACAGGGCAUCCAACAGGCUUAGGGGCUUUGACGAUCGACAUGCAAGCAGUCAAACGUGACAUCAGUACUACCCAAACCAUGGCACAAGGUGCUUACCAGGAGGCCUGAGCAGCUAGGAGGGGGAUGGAUACUAUAAACGAGUGGCUGAGUGUGUAUGUGGGUCGAGUAAGGUAAAUGAAACUUGGGAAAGAAUAUGAAGCAUGAUGAAGAAACUAGGGCACAGAGUGAUUUGAUGAGAACGGUGCAGGCCUAGUGGAUCCAGCAGUCAGACCUAUUGAGGUAGAUCUUGGCCCAUUUCUCUCCUCCGCCAGGAGAGGACACUGUGGGAUCCAGUUUUCAGUCACCACCACCACAGUGAUCAAAUGAGUUUUGUUUAACUCAUUUUGCAAUUGUCCUUCAAAUUAUGUCUUUUUUUAAACUUUUACUUCUCACAUUGAGGGCAAUGUAAUGUAUAAGAUUGGGGGGUGGUGACAUAUUUUGAAUGGAAACACAUUUUGGAAGGAUCAAUAUACUGUAUUAAGUUCAUUGUAUGCUUAUGUGGGUUUGAUAGCCUUGCUGGCAAUGAUGUGAUUAUUGGAAUAGGUAUGCAUUGGGAAUUGUGGAUAUGGUUCAGAAUUUGGUUAACUGAUACUUAUUGAUGUAAUACUUGACAUUCCUUAUGUACGCCACUCAUGUUCUACAUAUUAGGUUAGUGAUUGGUUUUUUUGAACAAACUAGGAGAAACUAGAAACCCUCUAUUUCGUGAACCCAUAAGCCAAAUCUAUUGUGUAAGGUUUGGAGAUGAUUUAACAAUUAUAGGGGAACAUUGAGUUAAGUAGAGGCUCUGUGCAUGAAUUUUGUUGUGUGAAUUGCCUAGACAAGUGAGAUGAGGACUAUGUGAAAGUUUUAAAUUGGGGGUUGAUUUUAGAGACCAAAUGUCCAGAAAAAUAAUGAAGGGCAUAAACCUAAGUUAAGAAAUCAAGAUACCUUUUUCCAUGCCUUUAUGACUCAAGCAAGUAAGCCUGUAGGAUACUUCAAAAUCUGGUGCCCUAAAGCCAACUAGUUUGAGAGUCACUAGCCCAAAGCUCGCUAUCGGGUUCAUAUAUAAAGCAAGAGAAGAAGAGGUUAAUAAAAAAAGUCAUCUGAUCAAGCCUUUAUAACUCGAGUGAAUAAGCCUGUAAGGAUGUAAAAACUUGGUGUCCUAAGGCCAACUAGUUUGGGAGUCAUCGAUCAAAAGCUCAUUACAGGGGUUAUAUAGAAAGCAAAUGAGAAGAUAGCACAAAAAAAUUAGAAAAUGAAAAAUAAAAGACACGAUAGUAUGGAUAAAGCCCUUGGACAUUCGGUUGAUAAAAUUAUAACUUCGAGGCGAGGCAAGCAAUUGAGUUUAAUCUUAAGUAUUGAAGCAAUCAAAUCUAAGAGAGCCUUCAGUUGUUGACAUGUGAACUUGUGAUAGUAAGAUCUAUCCAAACUAAGAGAGGGUAAGGAUUAUAGUUACUAGAACCUUAACUUUAAAACACAACCCCGGUAUAAUUGAGUGAAGAAAAUAAGUUUGGGGGUUGUGCAUUUCUCGAGCUAGGUGAGGAUAUAGUUGAUCAAUUCAGGUCAGGAUUACUCCAUCAUGAACUUGAUAUUCUUGCAUGAGUUCACACACACGUCAAGUGUGCACUUAAUAGGUAAAUGUUGAUUUCAUUCAUGCACUAUUGAAACUUUUUCUGAUGUCAAAUACUAAUUUCCAAUCCUAAGACACGACAGGUUAUUCAGCCAUGUUUUUUGAAACUUAAGUCACUAUUUUGUUUGAGGAUAAGCAAUAGUUCAAGUUUGGGGUUUGAUAAGUGCAUUUUGUGUACUUAUUUAACUCACAAACAUGACUAAAUUACGAGUAAAAUGUUUGAAUUGUGGCUCAAAUUCAUUUAAUCCGUGUAUUGUAGGUAUAUUUGCCGACAUGGUGGAAUUUAAGAGAAAAAGGAGCGAAAAGGACCAAAAUGAAGAAAAUGUGAAAGUUCAGGGGCCAAAAUGCAAAUAUUCAAAAGAUGAACAGGAAGAGCAAUUGAAAUUUUGAUUGAGCCAAGUACCAAUUGGAGGUUAAUAUUGGUUGACGGAAUGAGAAGAAGGAAGAAACGAGGCCAAAGUGGAAGAGAGAAAAGUUCAAGGACUAAAAUAAUCAUCUUAAAAAAUAGGCCUCUAUGUGACCGCAAGAGAUUAUUCUAUGCGGUCGUAAGCAUGGCCACCGAAACUAAAAAGGCCAAAAAAAUUUACCUCUAUGUGGUCACAUAGGCAAAAUUCGGGGACCUACGCUGCAGUUUCCUAUUUACGUUAAAACUCUUUUGAAACUCGAUGGGGACAUGAUAUAAAAGCCUAAAUUCAUCAGAAUUAGGGUCAGAACACAUUAGAAGAGAAAAAACAUAUAUUGGAGACAAAUUUGAGGGAGAUUAACAAAGGAUUUCACGAAGAUUAUCAAGAUUUCACGCGAAUCCAUAACCCGGUGAUGUUUUAUCAUCAAGAAUCCCUUUAUUCCUUUAUUAUCUCCAUGUUAGGCUAGAUAUUCUUGUACUAGGAGAUAGAUGAAAUAUGUAAUGGGAUCUUUGGAUUUUAACUUUUGCAAUUUGACAAUUAAAUGCAUAUUUGAUUAUUUGAAUGGUUAAUAUGCAUUAAUUUCUUCCAUAAUUAAGUGAACGUGAUUAUGUGAUGUAUAGUGAUUUAUUUCUUGCAUUUGAGAGAAGGAAAAUAAAUUUGACACAGUAUAAAUCAUCGUAGGGUCCGAUAAAAGAUAGAGAUAUAUAUCCCUUUGCUUUGCGUGAAUCAUUAAUUGCUCAUAAAACCACAUGUGUUCUUAUGUAUAUACAUCCGUCAUAGAGAUAUAUGCUAGUUGUAUAUAAGAAUAGGUUCAAUAUUGCUCGAGAGUGUGUAUUUGGUAGAUUUAGGAGCAUUGAUUCUUCAAUAAUCCAAUCACGUUGUCAUACUGUGAAAUUAGGGUUUUAUGUGAUCAUUACAUAGGAAUUCGUGAUCCUAGUACAUUUAAAUUUCAUUAAGUAAAAUCAACUUGUGUUCCAACCAUCUUAUCAUUUUAGUGAAAUUAGGGUUUUCCAUAAUUAGGGUUUCGAUAAAUUAGGGUUUUCUUAGGGUAAAACUUAAAUUUUGAUAAAUUAGUUUUGGUUAAGGUUAAGGUAGAUCAAGUUGAACUACUCGAUCUCUAUAGGACGAUAUUCGAAACUCUAAAUUCCACUUUAUUACUUAUUAACAAACCGUACACUUGUAGUAGUUUUAAAUCAAAAGAAAAAAUUUCGUGAACACUCACAAAUAUGUAAAUAGCCUCUCAAAAAGUGUCUUGGACGAUCGAAAGAGUCAGUCCUUGGUCCUCAACACAAAGUGUCUUGGACAGUUGAAAGAAUAGGUCAUUUGUCCUCAACACCAAGUGUUUUGGACAGUUAAAGAAAUAUGUCAUUGGUCCUUAACACAAAGUGCCUUGGAUAAUAGAAGGAGUCAGUCCUUGGUUUUUAACACAAAAUGCCUUGGACGAUCGAAGGAACAUGUCUUUGGUCCCAAACAUGAAGUGCCUUGGACGGUCGAAGGAGCAAGUCCUUGGUCCUCAACACAAAGUGCCUUGGACAGUCGAAUGAACCAAUCCUUGGUCCCAAACAUGAAGUGUAUUGGACGGUCGAAGAAGCAGGUCCUUGGUUUUCAACACAAAGUGCCUUGAACGAUCGAAGGAACAUGUCCUUGAUCCUCAACACAAAAUGUUUUAGACGAUCGAAGGAGCAGGUCCUUGAUCCUCAACAAAAAGUGCAUUGGAUGGUGAAAAGUGACAGUCCUUAGUCCUCAUUGUGUAUGAAGGUUUAUAAUUUUUAGUUUCUUCAUAAGCAUAUAUUUCCUGAACUCAUAAAAUAAUUGCGACAUAAAAAAUUUAGCAUCUACACAAAGAAAAAUUUUGAGCCUCAAAAUCCUUAAUUUGCUCCAAAAGGUUGAAUCCUUGAAAUUUUUUUUGAAAAAUGUUAUUUUCAAUUUUGUUAAAACAAAAAAAUAAUAAUAAUAAUAAUAACAACAAUAAUCAACAAAAAAAAAAGGAGAUCAAAAUAAAAAAGACAAUUAAAAAAAAAAAAGAAAGCAAAACAAAAGAUAAAGUCACGUGUUUAAAAUAAAAAUAAAAAAAGGGAGUCCCAAACUGACCGAAACCAAAACACAAAUUUAACAAAUCUGUUCAAUUUUGUAAAUCUUAAAAAAAAAAAAAAAAGACAAAAAAUAAAAAAUAAAAAAUACAUACAUAAUUUGGUCUCUGCCGUUUGACAGAAACCAAACAAUUGUUUGGUCUGGUUUCCCUUUUGGUGCGGAACCCAAGAAGAAGAAGAAUAUAUAUAUAUAUAUAUAUAUANNNNNNNNNNNNNNNNNNNNNNNNNNNNNNNNNNNNNNNNNNNNNNNNNNNNNNNNNNNNNNNNNNNNNNNNNNNNNNNNNNNNNNNNNAAAUGAUUUCUGACAGCAGAAUUAUUGUUUUUGCCAACGAAUUUCGCUUGGAGGCGGAAAUUGUUAUUAAAAAUAAAAAUAAAAAGAGAGAGUAAAAAAAAAUAUAUUUAUCUCUGUUUACAAGAUUUAACAGACUUAUUUCCAAAUCUCAUAAUUUAUUCAUAUAAAUAGAUGGGUAUCGGACUUUACUCAAGCCCAAUUUACCAUGAAACAUAAAAAAAUUAUUCAAAUCAAAUUUGUUAUGGGUCACAUAAAAUAAAACAAUAAGUAAUCGAAAUUCAACCAAAAAAAAUAAAAAUAAAAAUAAAUUCUUAUUCUCAAUUUUAAAGGAUAAGAAUUUCAUCAAAUUCACAUUUUGUUCUCAAAUGUUCCAUCUGCAUUAAUAUACUAAUGGGAUGUUUGAGAUCAAAUCAAAUAAAAAAAAAUCACAAUCGAACAAAUCGAAAAUCAAGAUUUAUUAAUUUAUUUAUUUCUUAAUAAAUAAAUAAAUCUUGAGGGGGCAUUUGUAGACAUAAAAAAAUAAAGAAAAUGAAUUAGGUCGAUUUAAACAAUUAUCCCAAUUAAAUUUUAAGUCUACUAAGGUCCAUAAGCCCGAAGGCCGAAGCCCCACAUCAAAUUUUAAAUAAAUAAAUAAACAAAUAAAAUCAUAAUUACUCAAUUAUUUAUUUUUAAUUAAAUAUAAUUGGGUGAUUAACAAAAUUAGCACAAAUUUUCUCCUAUACGUAGGAUCAAUGGUUCAUAAGACAAGAGACGAAAGCAAAACAAGAAGGGCAAGCAAGAAGAAGGAAGAAAGUAAGCAGAGAACGUAAUCACUAAGUGCUGAAGAAAUUUCAAGACCGAAUGAAGGAAAGAAAUUCUCUCAAACCUAAACUCGGUGAGCCCCAAGAAGAUCAAAAUCUUCUUUGAAUCAAACAGGUUCACGCCAAGUCCAAAAAGAUCAAUUUCAAAUCAAAUAAAAUUCAAGUCCAAGCCCCAGGAUUCAAGUUCCCAAGUCUCAACAAAUUCUCGAAGACCAGGAUUCAAGUCACGCGACCCCUCAUCUUCAAAUAUUCAGAUCAUUAAUCAAAUUUUUUUUACAAUUUUGCAAUUCCACGAAGGUCAACAUCAUUUGUAUUUUAUCAAAAUAUAAUUUUUAACGAUUUCUGUAUAUUAAUACACGAAAAUUCGUCAUACACUAAAUUCUUAGAUGCAAGUCUAAAUCUAAACUUAAGGGGCUGUAUCCAAUUGGAAUAUUUAAAAAAAACUGUAAGGAUUUCAAAAGUUUAGAAGCAUUCAAUAUAGAUCUUUGAAAGCUCUCUUAAAGUGUUUGGGUAUUAAAUAUUUAUCAACUUUUUAAAAAUCUUUCAAUUAACACUUUUAGAAGAAUACUUUUUUUCUAAAUGUAUUUUUUUGUUCUCUAUAUUUAUCUUUUCCAUUUUCUUGUAUGAAUCUUAAAACAAUGAUUAAAAAAAAUACUUUUCUCUCUCUUCUACCGGUUAUAUUUGUUCUAUUUUUUUUUCAUUUCUUUGCUUAAAAAAAUUCUUAUAACACUUUUUUUUAAUAAACGAGAUCAAGUUUUAGUUAUACUUAUAAAAAGGCUAAAUGUAAUUAAAUUGUAUGUAUAUAAAUUGGUUUUUUACUCUUUAAAGACAUUGAUAAUACUGAAUAUUAAAUAUUUCUUCAUUGUUAUUAUUUUUCACAUGUUGAGACCCACUUUACAGUUAUCCACUAAUUAAUUGAUAUAAUACUUCAUCGGUGCUUAGUACAAGAUGAGCAUCGAUGACGAGUCGUAUCAAUCCAUUGAUGGACAAAGUUUUGAUGCAUUUUAAUAUUUGAAUUAAAUUUAUUAUCUAUCAAUGAAUUGAUAUGACACGUCAUGGUGUUUAGUAUACAAUUAGCAAUGGUGCUCAUUAGAUCAUUAUAUAUAAAUCUAUAAUAGUCAAUCACUUGAAUAAGGUCAUUAAAGUCUCAAUUAAAUACUCUCCUGAAUUUUUCUAUUAACUUUUAAGUACAACAAAAUAUACUCUCCACUUCUCAUAAACGUAUGAAAGAGCAUAAAAUUUAUUCAUGUUACUAUAACAUGCAUGCCAUUAGAAUUUACAACUUUAGCAUUUCAAUAUAUAAUUUAUGGUCCAAAAUGUCGUUUCAAAAACACAACAAAGAACAAACCAAAACAAGGCUUAGCUCAGCUAUCAACCAUUUGUGUAAAUCCUCGAUAUUCCUUGAAAUGUAGCACCUAUCAUGUUUGGAACAUAUUAUUGGGCAUGACCAAAUGACUACAGCAUCUUAUAAUCACCCGUUCCUGAGCCCAAUAAGAAAGGGGCAAUUCUGCAUCUAUAAUAAGAUUACAAGAGUACUCUGAUGGGAUCUUUAUGGGCCAAAAAAAAAAAAAAAAAUUGUACUCGUGAGAAGCAAGAUUGAGUCACUUUAGAAUCUUUUUAUUUCAAACUUGAAGCAGAACCUGCAUGAUCCACUAGGCCUUCAUUCAAAUGAAGACUCUCAGGCUUCAUAAUAUUCAUGUUUUUUGCAAUACUUAUUACUAAAAAAGUGAAGUGUACAAAACCACCCGAAAAAUGCAACAGCUUGCUCUAACGAAUGUAGAACCAUAACCAAAGUUGCAUUUUCGAGCAUUGCAGUAGAUUUAAAAAGCUUUCACCAGUAAUCGUUACAGAAACACGGCCCAUCUUUGAUGUGGUGAAACCUGUUUGAAUCCCUUAACACUAUCUCUUUCCCUGUUGCAAUCGACAUGUAUUUCAUGGCUGCAUGAUAAUGAUACGACUCCAAGUGACCAAGUCAAGGCAGUUAUGGUGGCAGCUGGAAUAUUUUCUGUUCUUUCUCAAUAAGUUUGUUAGUUUGUUAUCAAUUUCCUACUUUAAUGGAUGUAAACGUUGUGCCCAACUCUAUUCAAGUUUUGGGACUGUUUAAUAAGAGGUAGCAGAAAAAAAUUUAACAAGUCUCUUUUGAGAGAAACUGGGAGGUAUUGGUUCCUCAUAUAAACCAAAUUAUUUGUUGUUUUGCUACUUAUAACUAAUAAUUCGUUAGUUCCUAUCAGACAAUCUCCACACACUCGAAGAUUUUUAAAAAUCCUAAUGGGCUUUGGUUUACUUGUGUGCUAAUAAGACCAAAUGCCAAAGCUAUUUUUUCACUAUGUUGAAACAAAUAUUGUUCCUUUUGUUCCACCUCCACUUCAUGAAGUACAAAAUCCGUGUUUGGGAGAUAGCCCAUCUCCUUUAUUUCGAGCAACAACCGAUCUAGUUCUUCAUAUAUAUCCCUUGUCUGAGGAUGUUUAGUAUCUCCUACAUAAAACUUGUGUACCUUAUUUUCUGCUUCCAUCCAGCUGCACCCUGCCUCCUUAACCAAAUUUCUUUCUUUCAUAAAUUUUCUGAUUUUUGCCACCUUCCCCCAUGACCACUUGAAGCAUGCAAGUUUGAUAAUAAAAUAUAAGCUGCUGGAUCAUUUGGAACCUGCUAAAGAAUCAUUUCUGCUGCAUCUUUGCCAAGUUCUGCAUUGCCAUGGACUCAACAAGCACUAAGCAAUGUGCGCCAAACCAGAGCGUCAGCGAUAAAAGGCAUUUACUUGAUGAAUUGUAUGGCCUCUUCUAGAAAUCCCGAGCGACCUAACAAAUCAACCAUGCAUGCAUAAUGUUCCAUCCUCGGAUGUAUCCUAUGUUCUUUGUACAUCAGAUGGAAGUAUCUCUAUCCUUCAUCAAUUAGACCUGCAUGGCUACAAGCUGACAAAACAGUAAUAUAAGUGACCUCAUUCGGUUUUGCGCCAAAAUCAAGCAUUUGCUUGAAUAAUUCCAAAGACCUUUUGGCGAAUCCGUGUUUAGAAAAGCCUGUGAUUAUGGAAGUCCAUGAUAUCACAUUCCGAUCUUCCAUUUGUUCGAAAACUUGAAAUGCAGCUUCUAUGUUACCACACCUGGUAUACAUAUAAAUCAAAGCGUUAGCAACACAUUGGUUAGACUCAAACCCGGAUUUCAGUAAUUGAGCAUGUAUUCGCUCUCCCUUACCAACUGCUCCAACACUUGCAGCUCUGCUCAAGAGACUUGCAAAUGUAAAAACAUCAGGACCAAUUCUUGAACCAUCAAUUUGAAUAUAAAGCUCCAAAGCUUCGUUAGAAUCCGAAUUCCUAGCAUAACCAUCAAUAAGUGCAUUAUAAGAAAUCAAAUUCCUCUCAAAUAAAAAUUCAAAAGCUUUUCGUGCAUCUUCCAUCCUAUCAAUCUUAGCAUACAUGCUGAUCUAAGAAUUGCCAACAAGAUUAACAGAUGCAAGACCCAAUUUCACUACAUGACUGUAUAUCUGUUCACCCAAAUCUGCAUUACAAAGAUUCCCACAUGCCUUCAAAACACUAGCAAACGUAAAAUGAUUCGGCUUCAGUCUACUUUCUAUCAUCGUCCUAUAAUACAACUCAAUAGCUUCCUUCUCAAAGCUCCCAUUUUGCACAUACCCUGUGUUGAUUGCUGUCCAAGACAUGACAUUGUGCUCUGGCAUUCGAUCAAAAACUUUCCUCAAUCAUCCAUUGAGGAAUUCACGGAGCACUUUGCACACAUGUCCACCAAACUACACCUAAGACAAACAUAACCCAUUCUUGAUGACCCAACACUGCAGUUGCUGCCCAAGAAACAACCACCCCAGUUCAGAACAAGCUGAUAAAACACUACUAAAUGUAAACCGGUCAGGUGUAAACCCAGCCAAUACCAUAUCCCUAGAACGGUAAGUGGAUGUAACUCUCGUAUUAAGUCAAACAACUAUAAAUCAGCACGUGUUCCUUCACAUUUUGUUAUUUCCACUCACUUAAUAUUGCUCAGAAAAUAGGCGCCCCUAUUUCCCACCCGUCCCCAACCCUGGACAGGGGGCUUUUUUUCUUAUAUAAAAGCAUAAUCAGUGCCGAGAAACAAGCUUUUGUUUUUAAGCUGGUCAAGUGUCCAACUCUCAACAAUGUAAAAUGAUCAAUUAUAUAGAUAGGCAUAAUUAGUACAAUUAACUAAAUAAGUUCUACAUAUCAUAAGAAUAAUCGGGUUCCUUUUCAUUCAUCAUUUUUUACCCCCUUUUUUCAGUGCAAUCUAACGGGACUUGAGUUCAUCUUAAUUAAAGAUCAACCUAUUGGGACACAUAGCUCAAUGCUUUUAUAAUUUCAAAAAAUGUUUUGUUCACACUUCCUCAAUAAUUCCCCUUCAAACAAAGUAAUACAUCAUCUUAACUGAAUCUGCGUCUUCAUCUAAAAGGAUGGUUCGAUUUGAGAGUUCGUAGUAAGAAAUAUAUUGUCAUUCAUGCCACACACAAGUUCGUCCCUAUGCCUAGCUGAUGCAAGACUUUUAUUUGCAGCUUCCACUGUAUAGAGUAAUGGACUAGAUACAUUAAUAAACUUGGACAAACAAUUUAAGAAUCACAGAAUUCCCUGAUCAGUAACUAUGCACAAAAAGCCACUCAGUUGCCGGUUCCAUCAUGUUAGUUCUUCUAUAUUGUUUAAAAGUUUACGGAGCCCAAAACAACUAACUGCAUGUGAAGAUUUGGGGUCCAUCUUAAUAAAGUCAACCUUGUUUUAAGUGGAGAAGUCCAAUCCUUUAUAAAUUGGUAUUUAUUUCCAUCAUCAUUUGAUGUGGGAUUUAUUCCCUUAACAUGCCCCGACAAGAUGGUGGCUCUUUUUGAGCAAAUCAAUCUUGAAAUUCGUGUGUUCAUUUUUUAGACUUAAUCGGAUCGAAUAGCUCGUUGGAACUUACUGGGCUUUGAUACCAUGUGAAGAUUUGGGGUCCAUCUUAAUAAGGUCAACCUUGUUAAGUGGAGAAGUUCAAUCCUUUAUAAGUUGAUAUUUAUUUUCAUCAUCAUUCGAUGUGGGAUAUAAUACCUUAACACCCCAAGUCUUAACAAUGCAGGGCCGCAGGCCUUCUCUUGUGGGGAUAUCACCAGAAACUACCCUUUCAGAUUGAAAAGUCCUCCACAGAGUUGUGGCUAUUCAGAUACUUUUUUUGUGAUUGAUUGCCUGAAAAAUCGAACCAUAUUAAACUUGAAAUCUACAACAUACCAUGCUCACGCAAUCCAUUACAGAAACUACACAGUAUGCAUGUCUGAUCCAGGCCUAGUUAGUCAAAAUUAUUCUUCCACGGAAUUUGAUCUGUCUACUAUUUAUACUGAAUACAUCGACACCAUUGAAAUAACAUUUGUAAAUUGCAUAGGCCCAUAUGUAGAGAAUGAGUACUUUUUCCAACUCUUUUACAAGAUCAUGCCUUCCCAGGACUAGUAAGGAUUCAGGAUUGCAGUAUGUGUUUUGAGUGAGUGACAUAUCUUGUGCUCACAAAUACAUCUUUUUUAAUUAGACCUAAGUAUCCAUCUCAUAUGCAAGUUUUCAUUUGAUUUGAAUUGAGUUAUAUUUAUUGGACUUAUAAAAUCACGAAAAAUUUGAGUCUCACCGCCCAUACAAUUUUUUCCCCCACCCACUCGUCUAUUGGAAAAAUACGAACAAGAAUUUCAUAUCGUUAAAGAUAUUGUAGAUAAUGCAACUCUGAGGAUUGGAAUGCUGCACCUAAUCGAUUAAUCUUUUGGGACAUAGCCCUAAUAUCCUACUAGUAUUAGAGUUGAGGCUAAAAAAUUUAGUCAUGUAGACUUACUUACAAGACGAAUCCCAAACUUCAAUUGAAUGUGGGAUGUCAGCCUCGAGUGGGAUUGCUAUAGGAAAAACAUCAGUUGGCUCUCAAGACAGAUGUUGUACCAACAUAAGUGGUUUGUCACACAUAGAAAAGUUGUCCCUUGAUGGAGCUUGUAAUUCUUUCUGUUUUAGAGAAGAGUGACACAUAAAUUAUCAUCUAAGGGUCCCAGAUAAUGUGGUACUCCAUUUGUUAGGGUAUUGUUAAUCCCUUGGAAUCUGCAGACAAAAUCUAACAGUAACUAGAUAUGAAGUAGGUAAUGUAACUAUAAAUUGAACUGUUCUGCAUAAUAAGUUAACCUUUUGAAACGAAAUUUAGUUACCCAGAAACCCUCUCCAAAUGCGACGAUUAAUAUUUUAGGUCACCCAUUACCCAAUGAUCAAUGUGUUGUUUAGAAACUCUAUGUAGGGGUGGGAAAUGGGUCUAGCCCAGAUCGAAUUAUCCCGUUCAAGCUGCUCACCUUGCUCAGCUUUAGCCAGGUUUUUCAGCUGGAGGCUGCAUGACAUGGUAGAACUUGGCAGGGACUAAUUAACAGAAAAUAGAAAAUUUAGGGACUAAUUUGCAACAACCAGAAUUGCUAGAGCAGAAUCGCAGAUUUCAGAAUAUUCAGGGACCCUUUUACUAGUACAGAAAAUUCUGGGCAUGUUUUCUAAAACCAGAAAAUACAGGGACAGAGAUACAUAAUAUUCUAAUCCAGGUGUUUCUGAUGCAAAUUUUCAUGAAUGAAGAGCCAGGGAGCCUAAACCAUCUCAAGAGCUAUCAAGUGAAAAUUAGUCCAAGGCUGCAAUACAAUAUAGAAAUUUUGGUGCAUUGAGUAAGUCGAUCAAGGAAAUGGGUCCAAGGAAAAACAUUAAAUUUAAGGAAAAAAUUAAAACAACAUGGGUUACAUAGGAACUGGAUGAUUAUACAACUAAUGUAAUGGUGAAUCCACUAUGUAUAUUGAGUAUGUCAAACACAGAGACCUCUAGGCAAGUAGUUCCUUUUACGAGUUUAUUAAGAAGAUAAAACUUAUGCUGUUGAGACUUUUGGUCCAUAUGGAGACGAAGCAUAUGAAAAUACCCACGAAAACGUGGAAUAAUAGUUUGUGGCAAUUUAAUGAAACACUAACUUCGGACUGAACAACAAAAAGACCGGAUAUCUUAUGAGAUGCAUGAUGCCCAAAUCUAGCUAAAGACCAUAUGAGUUCUAGCAUUUUGUAUCUAGUUUUAUUUUACUUCGCAGGAUAAGUUUUCAUUUAUUUUCUUGCGAAGUAAAAUAAGAGUAGAUAAGUCAUUUAUUUUCUUUGGAAGGUCUUUUCCAACGCCCCCUCUUUAAGUAUGUACUUUAUUUUAUAGCUAACAAAAAUAUGCAAGCUAAUGUGGUUUUAACAAAAAAUAGAUUUAUCUCAUAAACCCGUUUAUGUCGUGACAUCGGCUUGGGUUGGACCUUGGGCUCGUAGUUGUAUUGAAACGGUUUAAUUAUUUUGCAAUUAUUAAUCACAAGAUCAAUUCAAUUUAUGAACUUUAUUUAUCAAGCCCCCUUCUGGUUUAGCUAAAAGUCAAUGAAAUGUGUGGUUAAAAAAUUGAUAAAAGUCAUAAAUUCUAUGAAAUGUAUGGUUAAAUUAAAUAUUAACUUUAACUUAGAUUAUUGUCAACUUUUUUAGCUAACUCAAAAAUUUGCUAAAUUAUCUUGCUAUCGAAAUUUACUCAAAAUAUGUCCGUUGAAGUUUGACUAUUGGGAUUUAAAUUAGAUUUUAAGACUGUAUGUCUCUUUAAUUUGCAUUUUUAUGCAAGGGUAAUUAACUAAUUAUUUCUCUUCAAAAAAAGUGUCUAGUCCAGUUUAUCAAUCCCACUACGAGAUAUGAAUGGUUAUUUGAGGCAAGAUUUGUUUGACUCAUUUAUAUCAUCUGCUGAAGUUUUAUGCCCUCUAUACAUUGGAGUUGUGAAAUAUAUGCAUAAAACGACAGAGUUAAAAUGCUUUUUGUAUGUGUGAUUUUGAUAGUGGUUACCUUUGACAUUUUGAAUUAGAACAUCCCAUCUGAUAACAUAUUAAAUUCAUGAAAACAAAAGAAAAACUGAAAACUACGACAAAAUAUUUUAGUUUUUAAUCCAUAAUAGAGCCGACAUAAAGGAAGAUGAUCAUUCAUCUACCUAUGAUGCUGAGAUCUUAAAUAUUUGGUACAUGUUUAUUAUGUAGUAUUGGCCACAGAGAGGGUAAUAUACUUCUACUUGUAAAACCACAUCUCAAAUUUACGAAGCAGUCAAAGAGUUUCAGUAUUUAAUGCUCUCACUUCAUUACUCAGAUUCUGAAAUGAUUUCAAGUUCGCUACUGAAUAUUCUACCACGUGCAGUUGCUGCAUUCUGUGUUCCAUUCGUGGAAGUGAAUGGGUUACGGGGCAUGGAGGGAGUUUCUUCCGAUUAAACCAUUUGAAUUACAACUUUCAUGGAGGGUCGCUCGACCGGAUACCACUGAAUGCACCAAAGUCCCACAAUAGUUAGUUUUCUAACAAUCUUAUUGUCGCUCUCUUUCUCAAUUUGGAUAGCUAUUUCUUCUCCGUGCUCCAAUUUAUUGUAAAUCCAUUCUGGAAAAUAAACUUGACUUUUGUCCUGCCCACCAACAUCAUUUUUUUUCAAUCCUCCAACCAUCUCAAGAAGCAACAUUCCAAAACUAUAAACAUCUGAUUUAUAAGAAACGUUCCCAAAGUUUCUUGAGAAAACCUCCGGUGCAAUAUAACCUAUUGUGCCCCUUGCUGCAGUCAUGGACACAAUACUUUGCUCCUUGGAACACAAUUUUGCUAAACCAAAAUCCGAUAUCUUUGGAUUGAAGUUGUCAUCGAGCAAUAUGUUGUUUGGUUUAAUAUCAAAAUGAAGGAUUCUUUGCUCGCACCCUUGAUGAAGAUACUCAACUCCUUUGGCUAUGUCCACUGCAAUUCCGUGCAACUUCUCCCACCCGAGCUUACUCCUUUGUUUUUCAGAAGAUAUAAACUUUUGAAGUGAAUCAUUAGGCAGAAACUCAUAAACCAAAGCUCGUGUAAAACCAUCGGCACAAUAUCCAACCAGGCGAACCACAUUUACAUGGUGGAUUCUACCUAUUGUGCCCACUUCAUUUAUGAAAUCUUCGCCAUUCUCUUUAGAAUUAUUGAGGAUCUUGAUCGCAACAAAAACAUCAUUAGACAACUUUCCUUUGUAAACUGUUCCAUAUCCUCCUUCACCAAGUUUUUUAAUAAAGUUACCUGAGAUUCUUUUUAUGUCUGCAUACGAAUAUCUUGUUGGCUUGAGUGCCUUGUAAUCCACCAAGAAUUGCUCAAUUUUCAAUUCACUCUCUUUUUUCAGUUUGUUUGAGCUAUAAAUCCAAUAUGAUGCAAUAGCAAGAAACGUAGCAAGCAAAGGACCAAGCACUUCACCUGUAUAUCAAAGAAAACAGAUUUCGUUUUUUCACCAUAAAAAAGGUAUGGAACUACUAAGAAAUACGAUAAAAAGGUAUGGAACUACUAAGAAAUACGAUAAAAUGUUACAUUCUUUGUAGUCAAAAUAGAAGAUAAAAUGAGCGCAAAUUCUCACCUGCAACUCUUAGUUUUGCCACUGAACCUGCAAAACAUUUGAAAAUGAACUGUUAGUUUCUCUUCCUACUCUUUAGACUAUCAAGAAAACUUUAUAUAAAAUAAAAGAAAUAAAAAGAAACAAGACAAAAGGGAUAUCUGAAAUGAGAAUAUAGGAACAGAGAGAAAAUCAGUCUAUGUCGUUGGGUGUAUGUUGGUGCAUUUUUAAGAUUUUCUUCUGCUAAAGGAUUUGGUGUACAUGAAAAUUAGAUUUUAAUUUCAAGUCUUAAUUUUAACCACAUGUUUCAUGAGAUUCACGAUUUUUCAAUAACUAUUUCAUUAAUUUUUAUCAAAAUUAAAAAAAAAAAUUGGGUAAAUCCUUAACCCUUCCCCCUCUUACUACCAAUAUGUUCCCCUUUGUUAGAAUCUAAUUGCUAAAUCCUUAUGUAAGGAAUUACAAAUUCUAAUCUACAACGAACAGGGGCUAAGCUCCUUCUGAUCCUCGGAGCAUCUGAAAAAAAAUGGUAUGGAACUACUAAGAAAUACGAUAAAUAGACAAGUAAUUUUGAAUGUAACCUUUUUCCCCUACUCAGGUUAUCGUGAAAAUACCUAUAAGUGGUUUCCGUGGCACCUUGCUUUCAUGAAAUGGAAUGUAUCUAUAUAGAAUACAUAUAUUUCUAGACUUGAAAAAGGAGCAGAUUUGUGAAAAUGAUAUUAGAGUGUCAUAAUUCUAGAUAUUUUUUUUGUGGAAGUCUAUACUUCAAAAUGCAUGGGAAGUUUCUCAAAUUGAAAAAAAAAAAUGAUUUAAAUGAUAUAAAUAUGAUUUUAUGUAACAAUUUAGAACUUUUAAGUCAAGUUAUCGUCAUAGAUAUCUCUAGGAUAUAUUACAAUUUUGGAGGAUCAAUCAAUUAAGAACGAUUAUAUUGCCGUCACUAUUUUUAUUUGAUAUGCCACAAUUUUCAAUUUUUAUUUUAUUUUAUUAAAAUAAUCAUAGUUAAAAUGACAUAAAUAAAUCUCAAUUAAAUAUUUGUAUUCUAUUAUAUUAUUUCUUUUGUUGUUAUGUACACCACAAUUUCACUGACAAAAAUUAUAUUUUAUAGUGAGUAAUGUGUUUCACAACACACAAUAAAACAUAAAUAUGAGUCUUGACUCCUAAUUUUUUUUAGAAAUCUAUGUUUUUAGCUUCAUCGGAGUUACUCCAACAGCGAAGAAAUACGAUCAAUUGAAAGAAGAUGAAAAUAUUUCAAGUUUCAAAUUCCAUAAGAAGUAACGCAUAUUCAAUCACGUGGAUUAAGCUUUUAGCAAAUUCCAAGCGUUUGUCAACUCCCCAAAAAGUUGUAAUGCAAGUAUUCUGAAAUUUAAGAGUUUGAAGGACAGUUUAACCUUUUUUCUUUUCUUCCUUCACUUCUCUAUCUAAUUUUAACGGUAUAUAUUGAGAGAGUGAAUCUAUAUAUAUAGAAAAUGUAGUGAGAGAAAAUAUGAAGACUUUUAUUUUUUAUUUUUUUAAAUAUGGAUAAUGCUAUAUAUUUAUAAAAUGAUUGGUAGUGUUUUUAUGGUAGUGUUUUUAUUAUGAAUAUGUUUGUGUACAGAAUGGUGUGUAAUUGUGGUGGAAUAUAGAACCCAUCAUCCAAAUCAAGAAAGUUUAUGCAAAGAUAUAAGAGAAGGUUAAUUGAUUUGAGCAUAAUUCUAUCUUCUUCCGGAUCGAGUCUCCCUCUCUCUCUAAGUCUGUAAAACGGAAAAUAUAUGUAAAAUUACCUUCUGUUUUGCUGCUGUAGCAUUCAGUAUCAUGCAAGAUUGAACUGUCAUUCUUCAAUCUACAAUGUUUGCCAUUGGAUUCGCAAUGUCCACAAGAUGGUCUGGACCAUUCCAAUCUAAAAGAGGACAGAUUGUCAAAUACACCCUGGGGUAUGGAUUGAACGUCAAACAUCUUGCUGCAGGAUUGUAAGGACAAUUCAUAUAAGAAAUCAUCGGACCAAACUCUACAAACGUCAUAAUCCUUACUGCUGAGGCAAGGUACGGGGAUCAUAUAUUCAAGAUUAUCUCGCUUGAUUUUAGAACAGUUGAAUAAAGUGGAGUUAAUAAUAUAAUAAUCUAGGAAUUGGAAUGGAGAUGCGGAUAAAUUUAGAAUUGGAAGCAAUCUUGGAAAGCAGCCAAAGACUUGAGAUAUCUCGAUUAAUUGAUUUUUGUAAUCGAUUUCUUGAAUGGAAAACUGAACCGAAAACGGAAAGUUAGAGUCCUUGACGGAUGCCUUCACCGGAAAAGGUAAUUCCAAGACCGUGUCAUUGUUUUGAGUGCAGCGAAGUUCAAAGCCAGGGUAGCCACAGUGCUGUUGGUGGCGGUCUUUAAGGCUGAAGGGGAACCGGAUGGCAGGGCCAUACUGCGUGCAGUUUUUCACUUGGCAUUCAUUUUGAGCAAUUGAUCCAAGUACUGCAAAGAGUGAUAGAAAGAUGAGGUAAAUGAGUUGAGGUGCCAUGUUGAGGAAGAACACUUAAUACUGCUUAUGAAUUUCUGGGCCUUUUGUUUUC